GUGGAAAGCAAACCAUGCUGUAUUCCAAUGGCUGCCACAUGCUCACAGAUUGUAUUAGGCAUCAGACUGGUCACUGCUUUAAGAGGGAAGUUCUUUCAAGGUAAGUAAUUCUUUACCAGAAAAACAAGGUCUUUAUCUGGAAUCAAACAAUCUUGAAUGGAAGAAGCUGAAGAUGCAAUGUUGUACUUUCUACAGAGGAUAUUUUAAGAAAAACUAAUUUGAUCUGAAAAUGUAGACUCAGAAACACCAGCUGGAUAAAAUUGUAAAGGAAAAUAACUUAAGAAUCAUAUGUCCCUUAUAUUUUAGGAAAAACCAACCUCGUAACUAUGUAAAUAAGACAGAGCUUACUGGCUAGCUAGGCUAGGUCAGCAACAUUACAAUCUUAAUGAAAAGUUAGAGAUGUAGCUGGUCAUAGGGGCGCAGAGGGCUUGGUGGGCUGGGAACUGAGGGUGAGGAAGAGGCUCACAACCCUCGUUCCCACAGCCCACAGCUGUCCCCUUCAUUCCUCACAGAAAUUGGACGAGCUCUCUACCAUUAGGACAAACUCUGGGUUCAUACCACGAACCUAUAGCCACUUCCAAAUAAUUCAAAUGUCCCACACCCAAGGCCCAGAGAGUGCAGAGCUAAGAUUCUCUCCAAAACUUCUUCCUCAGGUAAACUUUUUAAGAACGUUUGUUUGUUUGUUUGUUUGUUUAUUGAGAGAGAGAGCAUGAAAGAGCAGGGGAGGGGCAGACAGAGAGGGAGUGAAAGAGAAUUCCAAGCAGGCUCCGCAUUGCCAACGCAGCACGCGGGGCUCGAACCCAUGAACUCAGAGAUUGUGACCUGGGUGGAAAUGAGGAGUCAGUCACUUAACCGACUGAGCCACCCAGGCACCCCCCUCAAAUGAAUUUAAUGAGGCUUGGGAUAAUGUGGAAGUGAGACCAAUGGAGCCACAUCUUUGGACUGUGGCCCUUUAGAUAUUGUGUUAAUUUGGUGAAAGCAAAUGCAGAAUGUGUGACUGACAUGAUCCCGAGGGUCAAUGGGUGAGAAUUAAGGAAGAGGGAAACAUCAUAACUAAUACAGAGUAUUUGUCAGGCACUUCUAAGAACAUUUUACAUAUCAAUCCAUUUAAACCUCAUAAAAAUACCAAGGACAUUUUUUCACUACAAAAUAUAUUUUGUUUCUGAUUACAUUAUAACGAGUAAUGUUUGCCUGUUAGUCAUUACACAUAAAUGAAGCAGAGGAAGACCUAAUUCUUGAGUUACAUCUAGGCAAUGGAGAAGAGUGUAAAAGGUAGUUAAAGAAGGGCAGGUUGAUAACUGCUUAGAGGGAAGCAAGGCCUGAACAGCUCCAAGUUACCAGGCUGCUCAUCUACAUUCUGAGAGAAGGUGGGUUUGGGCUUCUGACAGGUUAUCACUGGUGAGUCAUUACUUUUUAACCCUCUACAUGUAACGCCUUUCUAGGACAGCUGUUUCUCCCAGGUUAUUCCCCUAGUUUAGAAUGUCACUGGCUAUUGGUUCAAAGUUUAGAUAAGCAAUAUCAACCAGAAGCAAAAAUGUUGACUUUUCCUUUUACUUAAAAACAUACCAAGAGAUUAGAAAAUGCUAUUACAUGGGAGGUGAAUAAGAGUGAACACCUACAGAGCCUGACAGCUAUUCCAGAACACAGCCCUGUGAAAAUCCCCGCGGACAACAUGGGGAGGUUAAAUCAUUUACACGAGACCACACAGCUCAGAUAUGUUGAAGUCAGGAUUCCAGCCUUCCAAGCCUGGAUCUCCAACCCACACCGUCAACGACUGUUCUCUGAGAAUAUCAGAUCUAUGCCCAUCUGGACGUGAAUGCUUGAAUACAUCAUUGCAUUUCUCAAUUUCUCUGUUUUCCUUUCCUUGAUUUACCCACCUUAGUUGUUUGAGAGUGAAAAAUGAUAUAGCACAUGCGAAUGUGUAAAUAACACUAUAAGGUAUCGUUUUUCAUUGUUUUAAGCACAAAGCUCUAGCAGUUGUGAGAUCUCCCCUUAAAGAUAACAUUGUAUCGGUAGUUCCUUUUACUCCCGAUGGAACUCCUGGUGCUGACUCCACACAGCCGGCCUCAGAGUGUCUGUUUCCAGAUGACACUGGGGAGGUGGGACCUGGGCUCGAUACCCCUUACUGCUUUCAUCUACUGAAGGUGAACCGCAAGUGAGGUGACCCGCGGUGCCGCAGCAGUCACGCAGAGCGUGGUUACACUUUUGCUGGUUGGCUUAGUGCUGUUCAUGUUCUUCUUUUCCUGGUCUUAUUUUAUUUACUUUUAAUUUUUGUUUUAAUUGAAGUAUAGCUGACAUACAAUAUUAGUGUCAGGUAUACAACAUGGCUUGACAAGUAUAUACAUUACAAAACGCUCACCACGUGUCCCUACCACCCGUCACUGUACAGCAAUAUUACAAUAUUAUUGACUAUAUCCCUAUGCUGUACUCUCCAUCUCCUGGUUCUUUUCAAAUAGAUGGCUGGCUGCUACUGCAUCUGUCCUGGUGCCUUGGACUGCCGUGGACCCUGCCCUUACUAUGUUCUGCUGUGCCACAGGUUGGAGCCCAAUGAUGGGGAAAGAUGAUUCAGUGAUGAGGAAUGGGGUGGGGGGGGAGGUACACAGGGAAGGAGAACUAGAAGCAGGAUAGAUACGACUUCUGCUCUUGACUGUGGGUAACUCACCCAAUCAAAAGCAAAACCACAGCAGUAAGCAUGUGAAUCACAGAAGACUCACUUAAAAAUUGUUCAAAAAUUAAAGAAUACAUGUUUACACCAGAAUAUUAGACUAGACAAAAAAGAGAGGAAGAUGAUCUUUCUUUCUUUCUGAUCAAACACCUUUUCAGUUAUUGUUAACAAUUCUGAGGAAAUUAAUUGUCAUAAAUAAUGACCAGACCCCCUGCCAGCCAAAGGAAAAGAUAAAACCUUAUAGACUUAUAGUUUAAAUUGAUCUUAGAAUUGAAAAUUUUGAUUAACAUUCUGAUGAAGAGCUUAUCUAUUUUUUAGGUAGUUUCAUAAACAAAACUCUAUAAUGUGUAUAAUUCUUAUCAAGGCUUGAUCUUUGGAUUAUUGGAUAAUUUGGAUUAUUUGGAUAAUAAGGCCUUAUUAAGGAGUUGAUCUUUGAACAUUGAAGAAAAAGCCUAAGUCCGAUAUUUUGGCAUAAACAAUUAUUCUUUAAUUUUUGUUAUUUUUAGUGUUAUACUAAUUCUUAAACAAAUUUCAAAUGAUUCUUCUAUGAUUCACACGCUUACUGCUGGGACUAUAUAUUUUUUUAAAAAUUUAAUGUUUAUUUUUUGAGAGAAACAGAGACACGGAGUGUGAGUGGAGGAGGGGCAUAGAGAGAGGGAGAGGGAGACACAGAAUCCUACACUGUAUCCAGGCUCUGAGCUGUCAGCACAGAGCCCGACGCGGGACUCAAACUCACGUACUGUGAGAUCUUGACCUGAGCCAAAGCCCGACGCUUAACCAACUGAGCCACCCAGGUGCCCCACUGCUGUGACUAUUUUUGAUGUUCACUAUAGUGUUGGUUCUUGUGGACUGAGAUUACAUUGGACAAUGGAGGCUUUUUUUCAGAUUGUAAAAAUAAAACACUUCCAAAGGUCAAAAGUCAAAAUGUGAGGAAGACAUACUGUUUCUAUUUUGGAAAAUUCCUGUAGAACUGGUCUUUUUUUUUUUUUCCUAAAAGACAAAAUAUACGUCAUUGUUUACUUAUCUAUAACCAUCCCACUUAUUCUAUUUGGGGCAGGGACUGUGGACCUUGGGGAGUGUAAUGAUAUGAAAUCAGGGUGAGUUUGGGAAGUAACAUAAAUGGCUCUAAUAACACAUGCAAGCUUUUAGCAUUUGAUUCUAUUCUGGAAAAAAACAAGUUUAAUUCUAAAGGAAAAAACUUGUCAUGUGUUAGCUGAGUUCUAUUUAAAGGUCUCGGUAUUUUUAAUUAUAAACAUAGUUCUCUCUGCUUCUAUGGGCCUCAGCCAUAUGAAUAUGUUGUGCAGAGAGACCACGAGAUGCAGUCAGUAAUGUAAUAAGUAGAUUAAAAAUACAGAAUGUAAGUUUUCUGCAGCUAAAUAAAAUAAAAUACCCAUCCCUUAUAUGAAACACUUGGGUUCAUAUGUGUUUUCAACUCUUUUUUAAACAUAUGCCUUUCAUCAUGCACAUAAUAAUCUUACCAGGGUCUGAGGAAUCACCCUAUAAUCAAACACAUUAAUAUGUUCACAACAAAAUAAAUAUUCACACUAAGUGAAAUGAAUAAGGACUAUAAAUAACCUCACAUCUUUUUAGGCAGGUUUUGCUGUCUAAUGAGUUCACACCACAAUUAUAAAAAAGCUACAGAAUUUUUGCAUGUUGGAAUUGAAGGGAAAACAGACCUAUAAUGAUGCCAUAAGGCAAAAUACUAUAUUUUUCUCUGGCUAUAAUCUAUGCUAUGUCCAAAAUAAAAUACAUAUUUUAAAAGUUACUGGGUUUUAGGGGUGCCUGAGUGGCUCAGUUGGUUAAGCAUCUGACUUCAGCUCAGGUCAUGAUCUUGAGAUUUAUGAGUUUGAGCCCUGCAUCAGGCUCUCUACUGUCAGUGCCGAACCUGCUUCAGAUCUUGUGUCCCCCCCUCUCUUUGCCCCUCUCCCACUUGUGCUCUCCUUCUCUCUCAAAAAUAAAUAAACAUAAAAAAAAAGUUAUUGGGUUUUUUUUUUUAGAGCGAAUUCAUUGAAAAGGGGAAAGAAAUAAAUGUCAAAUUUAUUUUUUUUAUCCAAUUUCAGAUAUGUUGAAAUAUCUCAGAAUAAGAAAAUACAAGACUUUCUGGUAUUUUGUAAAUAUUGACAUUUAAAAAUAGAGCUGUCAGGGGCACCUGGGUAAGUCAGUCAGUUAAGUGUCGAUGUCUUGAUAUCAGCUCAGGUCUUGAUCUCAGAGUUGUUGGUGAGUUUGGGCCCCAUGUUGGGCUCCAUGCUGGGUAUGGAACCUACUUAAAAAAAUUAAAUUAAAAAAUAAAAAAGAGCUGUCAUACUAUCUACCAUUAUCCACUUUAUAUAUGUAUGAUUUAGUAUAAGAUAAUAUGAUGUCUGAGAUUUGCCAUCAUAUGCUAGCCAAAAAAAAAAAAAAAAAGAAUCGGGGGGAAUAAAUGAAAUAAAAUUGGCAAAAUAUUAGUAAUUGUUGAAGCUGGAUAAUGAGGAUUCAUUAUAUCAUUUUAUUUUGGGGUGUGUUUGGAAAUUUCUAUAAUCAAGUGUUUUUUUGUUUUGUUUUAUUAUUUUUUUAAUACAGAUGAACAAUCUGCCCUUUAGCAGUCUUAUUUUUUUUAUAUAUAUAUUUUUAAUUUUAUUUAUUUUUGAGAGAGCGAGACAGACAAACAGAGACAGAGGGUGAGCAGGGGAGGGGCAGAGAGAGAGUCUGAAGCAAGCUCUAGGCUCUGAACUGUCAGCACAGAGCCCGAUGCGGGGCUUGAACUCAGGAACCAUGAGAUCAUGACCUGAGCCAAAGUGGGACACUUAACCAACUGAGCCACCCAGGUGCCCUGUAAAUUGCACUUUAAUAAUUCAAAUGAAAAACAAAUCAAGCAAACAAAAUGUUGCACUUUUCAGUUUUUAGGGUUGGAAGCAAUUCGAGAAACAAUUGGACUGAGUGGUUUCCAGCUCUGCUUGACUUUGACUUUCCCUUUGAGAUUUUCUCAAGUCUAUCCAGGCAACACUGCUUGAGGAAUGUGUUGCUCUCACUUCUUAAAAUGUUUCUGUCUUUUAACUUACAACAUAUUUUCAUUUAAAAAGUUGGAAGUAAUGAAAAAUUAUCAAAUCUUACAAAAUUUAACGUUUCUUCCUUAUCUACUUUUUCCUACAGCCCUCUUUCCUUAGAUGUAACCAUUUUUUUCAAUUUUUAUCCUAUUACACCUUUCUUUAUGCAAAUGAAGAUAUACAUAUCUAUUUUUAACCAAAUUGUAUCAUGACUAACAUAUUAUUCUGAAACUUGCUUUUUUAUUCAGUGACAUAUCACGUGUACCUUUCAACUGCUUAUACACUUGCUUCAUUAUUUUAAGCCUAAAUUUUAUUCUAGUGAAAGAAUGUACCACAGCUUUUUAAACCAGUCCUCCACUGAUUAACUUUAUUCUAAUUCUUGGGGCGCCUGGGUGGCUCUGUCAGUUGAGUGUCCUACUUCAGCUCAGGUCAUGAUCUCUCAGCUCGUGGGUUCGAGCCCUGUGUCAGGCUCUCAGAGCCUGGAGCCUGCUUCGGAUUCUAUAUCUUUCUCUCUUUCUCUGCCCCUCACUUGCUCACACUCUUUCUCUCUCUCUCUCAAAAAUAAAUAAACAUUAAAAAAAUAAAAAAAAUAAUAAAUUUAUUCUAAUUCUUAAUAAUUUCAAAAAUGCUACUAAGAAUAGUCUUGAACAGAUAUCCUUGCCCAUUUUAUGUGAACGUUUCUGCUUAAGGGAUAAUAAGAAAUGCACUUACUGAGGCAACAGAUAUGUGUAUUUUGACUUUUUUUUUUGAUAGGUACUAUUUUACACUCCUAAAAAUAGUAUAUGAGAGUAUCCUUUUCUUCACUGUGAUAUUUUGAAUUUUUGCCUGAUAAGGAAAAUUGAUAUCUUACCUUAAUUUUCACGUCCCCAUUUAUUAGUAAGGUUAAGUAUUUUAAACUAUGUUUAUUAGCCAUUUGCAUUUAUGUUCCUAGACUUGCCUGGUAAAGGAGAACAGAAUCUCUCACCCCAUAAUUUGCCACUUUGGCAUAUUGAAUAUUUUAAAUUCAAGACAUCUUAGAAACAGGAGGUACAAGAAGGAUGCUCUGACCCACAUUUUUCCCCCUGAAAGCAGGAGAUAAAACUCCCAUGUGAAAAGUACCCUCCCUUUACCAGAAAGAAGGAAGACAUUCUUUUUAUCAUAGAUGGGGAAUCUGGAGCCAAGAAAUCUGUACAAACAAACCUUGUUAAAUGAAUCCUUAUCUUCCUGGUUAAUUCCUCACCAUUUACUAUCCCUACCCUACAUUCCUUUGUCUUGUUAAUUCUUCAGAAGUAUGUUGUUGCUUUGUCUAAGGGAUAUCAAAGCUCCCUUCUCUGGUUAUUUCUCUGGGUCUUCAAUCCCUUGUGAAGGCUCCCAUAUACACACAAAAAAAUUACAUGAAUUUGUAUCCUUUUCUCCUGUUAAUCUGUCUUAUACCAAUAAAAUUCUUAGGCCCAGCUUGUGAUGCUAAGAGGAUAAUGGAGAAAGUUCUUGCCCUGCAUUGGUCCUAUCUGUAACUAUCUUUUUUUUUUUUUUUAAUUACAUUGUCUAUGGGAGUAAUUUGUUUAUAAAGGAUAUAAAUCAUGGGUCUCGCAUGUUGCAAAUAUUUUGUUUAGGUCUUAAGCCUAUGAAGGCAGUGAUUGGAACUUUGCUUGGCUUUAGAGAAGACUUAAUACUUUAUUAUAAAUUGAGAAAACAAUGGUAUAAAUCAUGGGCUUCAAAAUAAUUCUCACUGACCACCAGUCACACUAAACACCUGGUCUGAGGCUCAGUUUCUUUCUCUGUUUACUAGGGAUAAUAAUACCUACUGCAUGAAAUUCCUGUUUGUUGUGGUGCAUGUAGUUGGCCUGGUUCUGUAGAUGCUCAAUAAGGGAAAUUAUUUUGUUGUGCAUUUUUAUUAUCUUGGUCUCCUGAACUUCCAGAUACUGUUUCAUCUUGAUUUGAACCCAACUGUUAUUGUUCUGACACUUAAAGAUACACAGUUUUAAGGGGCGCCUGGGUGGCUCCGUCGGUUGAGCAUCCGACUUCAGCUCAGGUCAUGAAAUCAUGGUUUGUGGGUUUGAGUCCUGUGUCAGGCUCUGUGCUGACAGCUCAGAGCCUGGAGCCUGCUUCAGAUUACGUCUCUGUCUUUCUCUGUCCCUCCCCUGGUCAUGCAAUCUCUCUCUCUCUCUCUCUCUCUCUCUCUCAAAUAUAAACAUUAAAUUUUUUUAAAAAUAAAAUGAAGAGACACAUUUUAGGAAAAUAACAUAUAUUAGUUGUGAAGGAGUUGAAGGUAAAUCUGUUAUAAGUUUUCCUUUAAUUUUUUUUCUGAAAAGAAGAAUAGUUUCACAUUUAAACAUUUAAUGUUUAAUAUUACCUUAAUAAUAUUAUAUUUUAAAAUUGCUGCUACAGCAAUAAGUGCAUUAUCAUCACCAAUUAUUUAUUGUUUCACACAAGGUGAAAAAUGUGUGAAAAUUUAUCUUUUAAGUCGCCUUUCAUAAUUUUUUUAUAUGCUGCACUACUCUAAUUAUAUUCUAACAUAUUCUGUAUUUAAUAGAACUUAAAACUUUUAAGCUAUUUUCCCACCGUAAUAAACUGCUGGCUUGUAAAUUGAUAUAACACCUAUGAAAACUAAUUUGGCAAUACAAGUGUCCUGGUGCAUUGAAGAUGUAUCUUAAGAUACAACUUUGUUUUAUCACAAGGAAAGAAAUAAAGCCUGCCAUAUACAACGGCAGAUCCAAUGAUUUCUUUCAUGUAUAACAAUGAUUUUAUACUUAACGAGUUUAGACGAAAUUGUGUUAUUUAUAAUUGUAGGUCAUGUAUAGAAAAGAAAAAUAUAAGCCAACUUCUUUAAAUUUGGAAUUCAACUCUUCUGUGUCACUCUUGCAUUUGGAGUUGUUUGUGUACAUGUUUUUCUGCAUAAUUUUGUCCUCUGUGCUAUCAAGGGUGAGAUGUUAAUGACCUUCCUUCAAAGUGAGCUCGAAGGGGCUAAAAACUGUUUUGUAAGUUUUGAGACAUGUGCUUUCCUCACCUGGGAAUGGGUGUCAAGGGAAAGUGUUUGGAGAAUAACCAGGGCUCAUUUCUUCUUCAUAUGGUCUCAACCAGGUUUGUUGACUGAGUUGGGGAGGGUCACAGAGCUCCAGCUGUCGCCACCAGGUAUAACCACUACAUUCACACAUACACAGGAAAUGACAGCCAGGUCUGGGCUUGGAAAACCAUGAUGUUGACACCGUGGAUUUUAUGUUGCCUUCUGAUUUCAGAGAUAUUAAAAUGCAUCAUAGAGCCAAUAAAAUAUUAUUUGCAAUGGUGAAUUAUAUUUGAUUAUAUAUUAAAUGAAUUAACUUUUGAUUAACUUUUGAUCCAAUUGCUAGCAACAAUUCUUUUGCUAGGAAUCUAUCUUGCAUAAAUAACAAUAAAUGCAGAAAAGUCUGUAUUCAAAGAUGUUCACAGGGCACCUGGGUGGCUCAGUUGGUUAAGCCUCCAACUCUCGAUUUCAGCUCAGGUCAUGAUCUCAUGGUUUGUGAGUUCGAGCCCCACAUCUGCGCUCUGAGUGCAGAGCCUACUUCACAUUCUCUGUCUCCCUCCCUCUGCUCCUCUCCCAAUCACUCUCUCUUUCUCUCUCUCAAAAACAAAUAAAUGUUAAAAAUGUUUAAAAAAAAAAGAAAAAUGAUGUUCACAACAAUGUUAUUUAUAAUCAUAAAAAUUAAAAUAUUCUCUGACUACAAAGUAGUAGUUAAAUAAGAUAUGAUAAAUUCACGCAGAGUGUAUUUCAAUUAUAUAUGUUUUUAAAACGCCCCAAAUGUUUAGAAGAAUGUUUAGAAAAAUGAUAGGAAGAAAAUACAUUAAAAUGUUAGUAUUCAAAUAAAAACUUUAAAAAGCAUUAUCAUCAUUUCUAUUCUUAGAUGGUUUGAGAUUUGUCUUUGCUGUUUACUUUUCGGUAUAUUGAACUUUAAAAUUUUCUUUUUAAAAUUUCUUUUUUUAAACAUCUUUAAAAAAAUUUUUUUUAAUGUUUAUUUAUUUUUGAGGGACAGAGAGAGACAAGUAGGGGGUGGGGCAGAGAGAGAAGGAGACACAGAAUCUGAAGCAGGCUCCAGGCUCUGAGCUGUCAGCACAGAUCCUGACACGGAGCUUGAACUCACGAACUGUGAGAUUAUGACCUGAGCUGAAGUUGGAUGCUUAACUGACUAAGCCACCCAGGUGCCCCUAAAAUUUCUUUUUAAAUUUUCCAAAAAUAUACACUACUUUUAUAGUUGGUUUAAUAUUAUUUAAUGUUUUAUUAUUAUUUAAUGAAAAUCACAACCUCAUAUUACAUAAAACAGUUCUUGCUUGUUACCACAGCUGCAGGCAUUUUAGUGAUUUAAAAACCCUGUAAAGGAAAAUAUUUAUCAGAAUGUUUAAUAUGUGUGUUCCUUUCCAAAAUCUUUAGCUGACAACAAAGUAAUUCUUUUAGAAACUUAGAAUAUAACAUUUCAGUGUGAAAGCACCAUUGCAAAUUAAUUAGUUCAGCUGCAUUUUAGUUGCAAGCAUUUUUCUGUCUCCUCGGUGAUCUUGAAAUAGCAAGAUAUGUUGUUGCUGAAAUAUCACCUGCCUCGUCCUCUAGUCAUGAAUGCAUGAACAAUACAGACUUAUACCAAAUAAAUCUUGCUUUAAGGGGCGCCUGGGUGGCACAGUCAGUUAAGCGUCCGACUUCAGCCAGGUCACGAUCUCGUGGUCCGUGAGUUCGAGCCCCGCGUCAAGCUCUGGGCUGAUGGCUCAGAGCCUGGAGCCUGUUUCCGAUUCUGUGUCUCCCUCUCUCUCUGCCCCUCCCCCGUUCAUGCUCUGUCUCUCUCUGUCCCAAAAAUAAAUAAACGUUGAAAAAAAAAAUUAAAAAAAAAAAUCUUGCUUUUAACUCUCCUAUGAUACUUUCAUCUGGUCAGUUUUAAUAGUCAGUUUUAAUCUGAUCACCUGUUAACAUGAUCACCUUUCCUGUUUAUACCCCUAAGUUAUAUGUUACAAAAAAAGUGACCAGGUAUUUCAGAUAAUCCUGGUUUUAAAUCUUUUUUUUUAAUAUAUAUUUAUUUUGAGAGAGAGAGAAAGAGCAGUAGCAGGCAAGGGGCGGAGAAAGAGAGAGGGAGAGAGAGAAUCCCAAAUAGGCUCCACACUCAGUGCAGAACCCUACACGGGGCACAAUCUCAAGACUGUGAGAUCAUGACCUGAGCUGAAAUCAAGAGUUGGACGCUUAACUACUGAGCCACUCACGUGCCUCUAAAUCUGUUCUUUUAUCCCUGUAACUACAUUUUCUGGAAUUCCAAUCCAAAAGUCAUUGAAAGGGAAGGAGGUAUGAUGUUUGUUUCAAAAUCAAGAUAGCAAAUUAUCUAUCCUGGCUUUGGAGAACAAGACAGUUUUAUCAAAUCUCAGAAUAUUAACAACACCCAUGUCCAGACAUAGGUAUAGGAACUUAUUCCAAAGCUUAAGAAAAUUUGUCUUUUAUUCUCACUCUGUAUUACUCACACUAAUGUUGCUUCCCAGAGUACCCGAAUUAGCUAAACCAUAGUAUUUUUCACAUACGUUUCAGUUAAAGAAAGUGUGUUGGGGUUAGUGUGGUAUUGGGAUAUGGAGUCAUAUGGCAGACUUUGUUUUCUCACUGCUGGUUAGGAGAAGUUAUUUAAAUUCCCCAAAACUUGGUUUCCCUGAUUGUAAAAUGGAUAAAAUGAAAAUAUUUAUCGGAGAAAACAGCAGUCCUUUUGUUGGAUCACUACAAUCGGACUCAACAACAGCUUGAUAAAACAUCUUAUCUUUAUAGUCUCAUUAGUUGAUAUUCCUAUGUUACUCCACCUCUGACCUAGAAAUUUCAUACAGGGCACAAUUCUUUCUGUCCUUGUGAAUCAUCACAGGGUGCUGUAUUACAAAAGAGAAACAUGUCUUACCGGUAAGAUAAAAGUUUCCAAACUGGUUUUGCCAAGAAAGUGCUUGCGGACAGUCUAUGCUAUUUGUAGUUGCAGAUACUGUAAAGUCAAAAACACUGGUCAGGGCAUCGUCUUGAUUCUAGGAGUAGCUGGAGAGAGGCUCUUCUUAUUUCAUACUUUGAUAUGUAUUGUUAACUUUAAAUGUGUGAGAAGAGACUGUAACCCCUUGAUAAUUAACAUUUUACACAUUACACCUCAAGUUUUAAUUUGUGAUAUAUUGCCAAGCUCCACUGUCAGUGAAAACAGAAUUAUAUUGAGCAGUUUUCUUUGCAUUAAGUACUGUCACUAUACAAACUUCCAGACCAAAUUUCCUUCCAUAUGAUUUCUGUGUUUACCUUUGAUGGAAAUACAAGCUUUCCCCAAACAUUCCACUGUAGAAUGAAAAAAAUAACCUUGAACAAGCUGCUGCUGAAUAAACUAUGUUGGGGGUCAUAAUAAGCAUCAAAAUCACUUUGCUGUCUCUCAGUUUACUAGAUAAACCACUUAGAGCUAUACCCUUACGCAAAUUAUUUCCAGCAGAAAAUAUUUUAUGAGUAAUCAGAAAAUAUUUGGUUUUGCAAAAUGGUUCAAAAAUCUUGUUUAAGGUGUCCAUUGACAUUAUUUGCAAGAUUCAAAGGAGUCCCUUUUAUUUCAAAGGGUUUUAUGUCUCCCCUUCCCACGCAAAAAAAAAAAAAAAGGUUAAGAAACUGGUUCCAUCUGAAUAGGGGCCCUGUGUGACUCUGGGAGUUGUCUUUAUGAGUCAGCAGAAGCGAGGUCGGUUAUCUGGAAGCGAGGCAGCCAGCAUGGGCAGCCUGGACCUAGAGGCCUGGACGAACUUCAGAGUCUGAUUAUACCAGAAACAAAGGAUUGUUGGCCUCAUCAGUUCCAUGAACAAGCAACAAGUGGCCAUUCCAUUCCAGGUGGCAUUGUGUGACCUCACGAUCUUUCCCCAACUGUGAGAAAGUUACCUUUAGCUCAGCUAUUAAGAAACAAAGAAAGGUUUAUAUUUUGUGAAAACUGUAGCUUGAAGGGUUUUUUGUUUUUGUGUUUUUUUUUUUUUCUGGAACUUUUGUUGAUUGAGAAAAACUAAAAAUGUUUCAAAGGAUGCUUUGUUUGAAAUAUUAGAUAUUCAAAAAUUAGUUCUUUCAUUAAAUAUUUAUUGUACUUGGCUAAGUACUAGAAAUAGGAAAAUGGAUAAGACUUGCUGUCUUCAAGGUAUAUACAGUUUAGUGCAUAAACAUCUACAUGUUUUCUGUAUAAGAUAAACUCAAUCUCUCUGAUAGUUAAAGGGCCAGCCUGUAGAAAAGAUCUGGGAUGCCCCUGUCAUGUUUUAAACACUCAGUUUCCUGAUCUAUAAGAUGAAGACAAUACGAGUCCUCCUUACUUUAAAAUAUAACUGAGGGGAUGAAAUGAUAUAUCUACAAGUAUUUUUUUUUAACGUUUAUUUAUUUUUGUGACAGAGAGAGACAGAGCAUGAACGGGGGAGGUCAGAGAGAGAGGGAGACACAGAAUCUGCAGUCAAAUGCUCUACCCCUGAGCUAUACCCCCAACAGAGGGAGACACAGAAUCUGAAACAGGCUGCAGGCUCUGAGCUGUCAGCAAAGGGGCUUGAACUCACAGACUGUGAGAUCAUGACCUGAGCUGAAGUCAGACGCUUAGCCGACUGAGCCACCCAGGCGCCCCUAUCUACAAGUAUUUUUUAAAAAAUCCUUUAUUAAUGUGUCUCAACUUGUGAUCUACCAAGGUGAUAUGUCACUUUGGGUGGGUGGCUCUUGUUAAAAAGGACAGAUUCCUAUGCUCCACCCAGACCUGCUGGGAUUUUGGGGAUUGGAGCCUGGGGACCUGCAUUUUAACAACAGCCCUCAAGUGAUCCUUAUACAUAUUUUGUUUGAGAAAUUGAUUUGGGGGUGCAGACCGUUGUGUAGGCAGCCUUCUGAGAAGGUUCACAUGUCCCAGACAUGUCACAUAAGCUGGAAAGAGCCUUAGACCUAGUGAGGCCAUGCAGAAAGAACAGUGGACAGGUAACAUGUGGACCAACAAGCAGUUCCUCUCUCAAUAACUUUGCCCUGUGUGGACCCAGUGUCUAUGGAUCAGUAGGGUGUGAGGCGGGCAAGAUGUAGAAACCUGUCAAUAUGACCAGGGUUAAGUCUUCUGCCAGCCCUGUAGAAUAAGGACUCAGAAGACAGAAUAUUAAAUCACAUUUCUUGUCUACCUGAGAUGGUGAACUUUGUUAACCCAGUCACUGAAAAUUUGUGACUCCAUUUAUUCAAGAAGGGUUUCGAGGACCUGUUUUUGCUAGGUACUGUGUGAGUCACUGGAGACGCUAUGCGGAAAUAGCAGACUGGAUUUCUGUCCUUGUGCUUUUCACAGGCCAACAGAGUUAAACAAACCAUCAUACAGUGAACCAUGUAAUUACAAUCAUGAAAAGUACUAGGAAGGACAAGUAAAAAGUACAAUGAGACAUUAUAACAGAGACCUAACCUAGACUGGGGGCUCAGAAAACUUAGAAAAAUGAUGUUGGGGGAAGGGGACGGCUUUUCAGAAAAAGUGUUCAGACAGAAAUAAAUUUCUCAAUUUUUAAAAAUUUUAAUUUAAAUUUAAUGUAAAUUUCUCAAUUUUAAGAUUGGCAAAGGUGAUGAUAGACUUGGACAAUGUUUCAUAAGAAGUUAUUGAGGAGGUAAACAUAUUUUACUUUUGAAACAAGUCACUUUUAAAAAGAUGAAAAGAUCUUAACUUCCAAAAUACUAAGAAACUCAAACAUAAGAAAAUAACACAAGUGUCUUGCCACAAAUGCAUCUGCAAGAAUUUUUAGUGAGUUUUCUAAUAGCCAAAAUGCAAGACUGCCUCAAUAUCCAAUAAUAGUGGAUUAUUUAAAUAAAUAUGCUACAAGAACACAGUGGAGUACUAUUCAACUUUAAAAAUGUUGCUAUAGAUGACUUAUUGGUUGGUUACAUGAAAACAAAACUUUUUUGAACAAAACGGAUGAUCCUCUAUUUUUGCAAACAUAUUUAACAAAGAGGUAUACAAUGACAUAGAAAAAUAAAUUAUGAGCAGUAAUGUCAUUUUUCUUCGUUUGGGAAGUCUGAAUUUUCUAAUUUCUCUACAAAGUUUUAUCCCAAGGGAAGAAUGAGAAAAGUGUAUUUUAAUUAAAAGUGUUGCAAACGAGCCGGUACUCUCUUGGCUGGCUAUGAGAAGCUUUGGUUGGGGGAGGGGGUGGGGCUGGGAAAGGAGGAAGGACAAAAUGUCCACAAUGCCUUUCCUGAGAACCAAGAAAGAAGACUUUUGACUUUCAGCCAAAGGGCAGGAUGAGAAUAAAGUACAAUGUUAUAUAGCAGAAAGAUGAAGUUCUGAAGAUAGAUUCUUUGGCAGAAUUGGAGCUAUCCGAUAGACGAAGCUGCCUUAGCAGGCGGUGGGAAUCUCCUCCGUGCACCUGAGCACCGCGCAGCCUAGAGGCCGCAGGACGUUUCUCGUGUGGGUAAGAGAUAGACAAUGGCUUCUGAGUUCCUUCCAAACUGAAGGGUCUGUGACUUUAUGAACUUUAGCUUUUCCCCCAGGACAUGCAAAUAACCAUGUCCUGAGAAACUUAAGGCUCUUAUUUACUGGCUCCCGCUUGGAAAGCAGAAAGGAACACUGGAACCCUUGUUUUCAUUAUGUUUUAAUUCCUCACUACAAAUCAGGCUUGUGAGAAAAGACAUGUGAUGUUAAUAUACUUUUAAUUUUUUUUUUAAGUUUAUGUAUGUAUUUUGAGAGAGUGAGAAAGUGAGGGAGCAAGUGGGGAGGGGGCAGAGAGGGGUGGGGGGAGAGAGAAAAUCCAAAGCAGGCCCUAUACCACUAGUCUGGAGCCUGAUGUGAGAUUCAAACUCACACACCGUGAAAUCAUGACCUGAGCCGAAGUCCGACACUUAACCGACUGAGCCACCCAGGUGCCCCUUUAUCCUUUUCAUUCUUUUUUACGAGUCUCAUCCAAUUAUUUCUCUGAGAACCAGAAUUAUCUUUUAUUUUUGUUCAAAAGCCCUCAGCUGCAGGACUUGGUGAAUGUUUACUGUCUUCUAAAAGUCUCAUCUAAUCUUUUUUUUUUUUAAACAGCUUGAGCCCAAAGUUCAGUGGCUUUGGCCAUGAACAGUGGUGACAAAAUUGAGGUCUCUCUUGUUUUUUAAAAAAUGCAUCUAUCACAAGAGGUGUAUUUAUGAGCAGUUGAUACAUUAUAAUACUGGGGAUUUCAAGGUGGAGCUUCAUGGAGGCUCACAUCUUGUUACUGACCAUUCUAGACCCUCGUCCUGAGACAGUAGGCUGCAGCACACUUCAUGCCUUGUGUUCCGGUCUUCACUCAUCCAUUCCUUUUUGGACGGUUGCAAAGAGCAUGAGUCACUUCAGAGGGGGCAUUCAAAGAAGUGUAUGUGUUAUUUUGACAGUGGUGCCACAGGGACACAGGCAUUUCUCCUUGCUCCAAAUACCAUGAAAAGCAGGAGAGCUAACGCUUUCAAUCACUUUUCUUUACUAGGAAAAAUAAUGACAUUGGUUUGUUUGGAAGCCCUUUUACACACAGCCCAACAGGAUGCAAGCUGCCUCGUGAUGUGACUGCCAGGGUGCUGGACUCAGAAUACAAAUUAAAUGCCGAGCUCCCUCUAGUGUCACGAUACAGCGGCAUUUAAGAACUUGGAUAUAUUGUACAUAUUUCACAGUAUGAGUCAAUUAUUUUUAAUUCCAUUAAAUUUAGUUACUUUCCAUUCCACUUAAUUUUAUACAACAUAUUGCCUUUUUAAAUGUUUAUUUAUUUAUUUUGAGGGAGAGAGAGUGUGUGCGAGCAGGAGAGGGGCAGAGAGAAUGGGAGCGAAAGAGAGAAUCCCAAGCAGGCUCCACACUGUCAGCACAGAGCCUAAUGUGGGGCUGGAUCUCAGGAACAGUGAAAUCCUGACCUGAUUCGAAAUCAAGAGUCAGAUGUCUAACCAACUGAGCCCCCCAAGUGCCCCCUACAACGUAUUUCUUGAGUCAGAAUUUUGUGAAGAAACAUUUAAUAAACUAUAAUUCGAAAACAUCACUAAAAAUGGAAAUUACAACUGAAAAUGUCUCGUGUGAUUAUAGCAUAGGGUAAAUAAGAGAAUAUUCCAGAAUACUGUGUUCGUGUAAGACACCCCUUCUCCCUGCAACAACACACACACACACAACACACACACACACACACACACACACACACAACAACACACACACACACACACACACACACCAGUUCUAUUUCAAUAUACUCUCCUUGAUGUCCAACAAAUAGGGGUCUCCUUCAUUUGCAUGUUGAGAGUAAGAUGUGGGUUACUCCCUGGAUAUGGAGGGAAUAACUGCUACCACUAUAGGAAAAACAGAGAUCUUGUAAGCAUGUCUUAUUGAUGAACCAUUAGGGCUAUGUUCAUGCCUUUUCUUUAAAAAGAUAUAUAAUUGAUUGAAAACACUGCAAGGGAGCAGUGAGCAGGACAGCAAAGGAGAGACUGUCUGCCCGGAUGCAGUGGUGACGAGGGGCUACAGUUAAGGGGGAAGUGAGGAGGUAUGGGAACACACGGAAUUUCCCUUUUUGGUAGCUGUGCCUGGUGGUGAGUAGCCCAUUGGUCAUUUAGGGCCCAUGGUUAUUUUGAGGAGGGCUGCCUAAUGAGCCUGUUUGCAUUCAGGCCAGUGGUGGUGGCUGUGGUGGCUAUGGUGGCUAUGGGUGCUUUUACCUUACUCGAGUUUGCAUUGCUCAGGCCUGUUGCCUAAAAGAGGUCUCUACAUCCCCCCGCCCCCACACACAUAUCAAUAAUGACAAGUCUUUGGCAUUUAGACAGAGGUCUCAUCUUCUGUAACUGCUUCAUGCUGGAAAGGAGGGGGCACCCUGUUCCUACCUAAACUGGUCAGUCCAUCAGGGGGUUUGUGCAGUUUUAGACCAGAGCAUGAUAUUGUAUUAAUGUGAUGACAGGCAUCUUGAGUGAAAUUCCUUGGUGGCCAGGUCUGUGGGACUUAGGGGGGAGGGGACCAUCUGAUGGUAUGGGCUGGGAUCCUUGUUGAACCACCAUUCGGAUAUGGAAUUGUUGGAUUCACUCAGACACAUAGGAACAUGUUUUGCCUGCAGAUCAAGAUGGCGGCUGGAUGCACAGGAACAAAGGAAAAGGAGGGGCCUGAAAGAAGCGAGGUAGCUGAGAGUCAGCUAGCAUUAGGAAAGGGUCCCAAGUGAGCCUGUGGCAUGUGCAGAUUUGCCCCAGAUGAUCCAUAGACAGAGUGGGAGUGGAGAGAAAAGGGGUCCUUCCCUUCACAGGUGCAGGCAAUCCAACCUGUUGGCCUUCAGACCUUUAGAUCACGUGAAGGAGUCAUCCUGGCCAGAGACCUUCAGUUGUCUGAGGAGUACUAGCUAAACCACCAAAGGGCUGAGAAGAGAAAGGAGAGGGAGAGAAGGAUCCCUUUGAAGGGCAAGAGGGGAAAUCCCUCACCAUUUGGGGCAAGAAGGGUCCUACUGGCUCCUUUUGGGGCUUAAGAUCCUCACCAAGGAGUAACCUCCCCUAGAGGUCAUCAGUUCCCCAAGGACUACUAGAGUCGGCGCACUGAGGGAAAGUCCCGAGAAAAUCCCAGAGAACCUGAGAAGAGCCCCAGGCUGGCAAAGCCUCCAUGUACGGGCCACCAAAUGUGGGGCAACCGGAUUGGGUGGAGGCCAGUGGCAUGGGUGGUGAAAGAAUUCACCCAAGGCAGAAAAAAGGAGAUAAAAGUUUAUCGAAUAUACAGAAGGGAGCAGGGGCAGGACAGCAAAGGAGAGACUAUUUGCUUAUUUAUGCCUUUUAUGUGUUUAAAAAAAAAUUUUUUUUUAAUGUUCAUUCAUUUUUUUUUUCAAAAAAUUUUUUUAACAUUUAUUCAUUUUUUGAGAGUGAGAGAGACAGAGCAUGAGUGGGGGAGGGGCAGAGAGAGAGGGAGACACAGAAUCUGAAGCAGGCUCCAGGCUCUGAGCUGUCAGCACAGGACCCUAUGCGGGGCUUGAACUCACAGACCGCGAGAUCAUGACCUGAGCUGAAGUCGGACACUCAACCAACUGAGCCACCCAGGCGCCCCUUUUCAUUUUUGAGAGAGAGAAAGAGCACAAGCCUUGCAGGGGCAGACAGGGAGGGGGAUAGAGGAUCUGAAGCACAGAGCCCUACACUGGGCUCAAACCCACCAGCUGUGAGAUCAUGACCCGAGCCGAAGUCAAAUGCUUAACCGACUGAGCCACCCAGGUGCCCCUUUUUAAUGUGUUUUCAAAAGUCCAAAGAGGCCAACAUGGUACUGGUUGUGAGUUUUGAUUUUCUACACCCAAACCACUCAUCUUACAUAUCAUCUAUUCUCAAAUCUUGCGUUCAUGAUUCAAUAUAAGAAAAUUGCAACCUAAAAUAGUUACUAGAACAGAAACAUCUAUUGGACACUUGCUGUUCCCCUCCUAUCUUCCCCCAUCUUAGCACCAGAAUGACAUUUGAAAAGCCCCAUCUUGCCCUACUUACGAGGCCUGAAGGAAGAGUCAGCAGUGACAGGAGCUAGGGAUCCAGAGUCACACUGCUGGGUUCAUGUCCUGGCUGUGACCCUUGCUGGCUGGGUGAUCUGGGGCAAGUUGGUACACUUUGUCUGAAAAAUGAAGAUAAAUAAUAACAGUACCUACUUCCCAAGACUAAAUAAGCCCCUUGCAUGCAACAAAACCCCAGCAAGGUGAUACGCUAUCUGAAGAAGAAGGCAGAAGCCAAUUCCUGAGCUGGUUAUUUUACAUAGGUCUCUCAGCAGCAGGCUUUCCCGAACAGUACUUUUUCUGUUUCAAGAAAGGUUUGGGAGAGUGUCCUCAGUAAUAAGACAAAAACCGAACUUUCUUUCCUACCUGAUCCUAUUGACUCCAUGGAGUCUAAAUUCUUUUGCACAUGGCUAAAAUCUCUCAACCAUCUUUCCGAGACUCCCUUUUAUAAACAAACACUCCACUCUUUUUUUUAAUGUUUGUUUAUGUUUGAGACAGAGAUAGAGAGAGGGAGAGAACAGGUAGGGGAGGGGCAGAGUGAGAGAGGGUCAGAGGAUCCAAAGCCGGCUGUAUACAGACAGCAGAGAGCCUGAUGUGGGGCUCGAACCCACGAACUGUGAGAUCACAACCCGAGCUGAAGUUUGACCCUCAACCGACUGAGCCAGCCAGGAGCCCCAAGAACACUCCACUAUUUUGAAUACAGAUUCUUUACUGCUGCCAAACUGGUUUAUUCACUGUCCUCAGACAUACCCUUAUCUCUUCUUUAACCCUUCCUUCUUUCUUCCCUCCCUCUCUCCUUCCUUCCUUCCUUCCUUCCUUCCUUCCUUCCUUCCUUCCUUCCUUCUGGACUGCCUGUACCUCAAUCUUCUCUGUCACUAUCCUUACAGAUUAGCUAAAACACCGUUUCCUCAGUAGACAUUUAGCUCAGGAAAGUUACUCUGGAGCAUAAAGUACACUAUAUGCAUCUCUCAGCAGCCAACUUGAAAAUAUUGUGAUGCACUUGUGUGAUAUUGGGGUGUCUCAGGAAGACCACACUUACGGACUUGUCUCUGAGUGGCAAGCAGAAAGAAUCCAGCUGUCUCACUUUCAUGGUGACUCCUAUUGUGGGAAAGGAUGCCAAGCUUACUACUCACCAGAGGUUGCCUGGUUACCAUCAAAAUAUUUCCCAAGUUUCUGAUUUUGUCAAAAUUAAUAGGCCCUGAUACUUCUAAGAAUAUGACACACAAAAAAACUUAUCUGUAGAUUUUCUUGUGUUUAAUUUAGAAACAUUUGGCAUUUCAAAUUAAUAUUGGUUAAAAUUGCCAAUUUUGAUUACCUGAAGACACAAACAGGAUAAUUUAUCCUCAAAAUUUCACAUGAUCAUCUAUGCAUUUUAACUUAAAUUUUUUUUUUUAAGUGAGCAAGAGAGGGGCAGAGAGAGAGUGGGACAGAGGAUCCAAAGCAGGCUUCGAGCUGACAGCAGAGAGCCUGAUGUGGGGCUCAAACUCACAAACCGUGAUUGUGACUUGAACCAAAGUCUGACACUUAACUGCCCCAAUGUCUCGCAUUUUAACUUUUCAAAAGAGCUUCCACAUCUAUCAUCUCAUUUCAUCUUUCCUACAAAUUCAAUAAAAUUAUUUUUCAAAUGGGCUUUAAGUGACCAGGAUUGAGAACUGGAGAAGCAUAUUUAACUUCUGAAGGUCCCAGUGGGUCCCUGAAUGGAAUCCUUUCAUUGGGACUCUAUGUGAAUCACUGAUUCCCUUUGAAUGAUCUAAGGCAGGUCUUAUCUCAGAAACCCAAGGCUGGAUUGGAUGUCUCCACACCUUCCUGUGUGACUCUUUUUGCUAUUAUUCAACAUCUCUCAUCAAAGAUGCAGAGUAUGGGCAGAGGAGGAAAGACAUAGGAAGGAAGAGAGACAUGUUCAAAUUCAGAAAAAUAUAAUACACAUCAGAAAUGGUGGAAGCAAAGGAUCUUCUGGAGGAAAGACAGGGAAAUGCACAAUCAGCCGUUCUCAAAGCCGGGUGUGGUUAUCUGGGCAUUGUACAAGCUCUGGAAAGAUAUGAGGGUUUUCCAGUAUUGCAGACUCUGUCAUGCUGCUCUUAGGGGAGGAUUGAUUCCAGGGAGAAAAUAGUCAUGAAGUAAUUAUUAAAUAAAGGGAAAAUAUUUCUCAGAACAUUCAAGAAUAUAUGAGCUCAUGUAGCUAUUUGUCAAACCAUGAAACACCUAUUACAUUCAAGAUUCCGGAGAUACAGUUAUAAAGAACACAGCCUUUAUUAUAAUAAAUAAAUAAUAAUAUAUUAAUAAUAAUUAAUAAUAAAAUUCUUACCCUAUGUGAAACUUUUUUACACUUGACAUUACUUAAUCUUCACAACCCAAUGAUGUGGUUAGCAUUAUUUUCACUUUAUAGAUAUGGUGACUAAGGUAAAGUUAAGGUACAAGUUAAGUAACUUGUCUAGACUUCCACAGCUGGCAAAUGGCAAAACUGGAAAUUUGAACCCAGCGAGUGAAAUACCAAAACCUUCGCCCUUCAGCUCUUAUCUCCCUAAACAGUGCUUCACUGAUUUCCUUGGGAAACAUUGUAUGGAACAAUUUCAUUGUGUCAUCCUCGUAAGGGAUCUGUGGAUACCAGGGGUUGGAUUCACUCAUUACAAAGAUGGAGGCCAAAGAUAAUACGAGGCAGUGUGGUAAGUGUUAGUAGAAGUCAACACAGGAGCUUGGCGAAAGCAUUGGUUAGGAAAAGCCUCCUGUAAGAGUCAAUAUCUGACCUGAUCCUGAUAAAUGAGUAGAUAUCAGACAGGCAAAGAGGGAGGAAAGUGCCUUCUGGGCAGAGGAAACCGGAUGUAUGAAUGCUUGAAAGACCAUGGUUUGCUGAGUGAACAGAAGGAACCAACAUAGUAUGAAGCAGGGGCCAAGGGAAGGACUAGAAGAGAGAAGAGAAAUGAGAAAGCUGAGUAAGUGAAGGCCAGAUAAUGAAGAGUCUCUUUAUUUAAUAUUUUAAACAUUUUAUUGUUUCUGUAAAAGUGAGAUGUGUUUAUUUUUUGAAAAGGAUUCUGAUAUUAUAUAUAUAUCAGAUAUCAUAUAUCAUAUAUAUAUAUGAUAACAAUUCAUAAAAGUACAAAGAAGAAACUAAAAACCCCCUGCACUACUCUCUCUCACUCUGAGAUUACAACUAUGACAUUUCACUGAACAUCCAGUAUCUUUCUCUAUGUACAUAAACAUAUGAGUACAAGGAUAGAGAUAUAGAAGUGACAUCAUACUGUGUAUGUUGUUCUGUACCUCCCCACCAUUUAUAUGGCAAUGAUUAGAAUCUUUGGCUUUAUUCGGAAGUGAAGGAUUUGCAGCAAGAUGGUAACAUAAUCAUAUUUGUAUAUUAUGAAACAACAUAACAGCAUUGCCUAGUAUAAAUUUGAGGUCAUGUGGUGGCAGUAAGGAAGAUCAAGGAACCCAAGGAGGCAGUGAUGAUGACAUGAACCAGGGAAUGGUGAUGAAUUGGAGAAAAAGGGAUUGAUUCAGAUAACAGGAGGCAGGCUCAGUGGCCUCUCCGGCUGUGGAGGCAGGGGUUGUUCAGUGGUGGGAGGUGAGGAGUGAGAGAGAAAUCUCCAAUUGAUUUCUAGGUUGCUGGUUCUGGAUUGGAUGUGUAGGUAUUAGCACCAGUCACUAGCAGUUUGGGGUGCCUAUGGGAUAGCCAAUUGAAGAGAGCAGGUAACUAUUCAAAUAUAUAAGUCUGGAGCUCAAGAUAGAGACCAGAGCUGAAGAUAGAAUUCUGGACAUCAUCAGAAGUUAAAACCAAGGGAACUAAGAACGGAACAAUGAGGACACACACACACACACACACACACACAGAGAGAGAGAGAGAGAGAGAGAGAGAGAGAGCUCCUAAAGCCCUUAUAAUUUCUUUUGUAAUAACAAUACUAGGAGUAUCUCUUAUUCUUAUGGUUGUCUUUGCCCCAGUCCCUGACAGAACUUCUAAAAUGUUGUAAAUCCCUAAGUGAUAAGAACAUAAGUAGCAUCUCUUGCUCUAAUGAGGUGGUUCUGGGUGGGCUCCUGAAUAGGGGCUGGUCACAAGAAAGUCCAAGCCAUUAUUAAAAGCUUGGAAUUUUCAGCCCUAUCCUCCACCUCCCAAGAAGGGGAAGGGUCUAGAAAUGGAAUUUAUAAUUGAUCAUGCCUACAUGAGGAAACCUCCACAAAAUCCCAAUAGUGGGAUGUUCAGGGACCUUCCAGGUUGGUGAACACAUCCAGUCACAGAUAAUUGCUUGGCAUGAGGAAAAACCUACAUGUAUUUGGUGACCCAGAAGAGAAGCAUUCUCUGUGUUAGAAGAGAGAUACAGAAAAGAAACAUCAUAAGAAAGAACUGGGGUUUACCCUACAAAGAAGGAGGAAAAUUGAGUUUUUCUUAAACAGAUGGCUUUUCUCUUCUUUACAAUGUAUGAGACCUCAGCUGGGAAGAUAGGAAGGCUGAAAUGACUUGAUGCCUAAGGCUAGAAUCAUCUGAAAGCUUAUUCACUCAUGUCUGGCAGUUCAGACCUCUGCUGGAGCUGUCCAGCUCUCGGGUUUUAUGAGCAAAUGUCCCAAGAGAACAAAGCAGAAGCUGUAUUGUCUUUAAAUUUUUUAAAAUGUUUAUUUAUUUUUGAGAGAGGAGACAGAACACAAGCAGGGGAGAGGCAGAGAGAGACAAGAGACACAGAAUCUGAAACAGGUUUCAGGCUUUGAGCUGUCAGCACAGAGCCUGACGUGGGGCUCGAACUCAUGGACCAUGAGAUCGUGACCUGAGCCAAAGUUGGAGGUUCAACCAACUGAGCCAUCCAGGUGCCCCAGAAGCUAUAUUGUCUUUUAAGACUAAGCCCAGAAAGUCCUGUGGUGGCACUUCUGCCAUAGUAACGAACACGCUAAGUUUCAAGGGGAGGGAACAUAAUCCGUAGCAUUCAAUGGGUGCAGUGUCAAAAGUCAAAGUCACAUUGUAAAUACACGUGGGGUGAGAGAGAUAUUGUUGUGGUCAUCUUUGCAAACUACAAUCUGCCACAACUCUUCUGUUCCUCACUAUUUGUUCAUUACUGUAGCCUUUUAUUUAUGCUUCUCUUGUCAGCCAUGCCACAAUGUUGACAUUAAGUAAGCAAUCAGCUAAAAGCCCUACUUUGUUUCCAAAUGAACGGAGAAACUAGCUCUUCCCCUUUCUCCUCAUACAUACUUUUAAGCUGAGGCUUUGUGAUAAUUAAUAUUAAAUUUAAUUAUCAAUCAAUAAAUAUUUAUUGAUAAUCUGUCAUUUGGUAAAUAUCUCUUCGACAAUGGAGAUAGGCUGAAUGUAAUAAAGAAAAAUGGUUUCUUUUUUUUUUAAUGUUUAUUUAUUUUUGAGAGAGAAAGAGAGAGAGAGAGAGAGAGAGAGACAGAAUGUGAGUGGGAAGGGGCAGAGAGAGAGGGAGACAGAAUCCAAAGCAGGUUCCAUGCUCCCAGCUGUCAGCACAGAGCCUGACAUGGGACUUGAACCAUGAAAUGUGAGAUCAUGACCUGAGCUGAAGUUGGCACCUGACUGAGCCACCCUUCUUAUCUUAAGAAGUUUACUAUCUGGAGAAAAAUACAGAUCAAUGAGAGAUUUAAAAAAUAGGUGAGUGGUGCCUUGAGUGGCUUGGUCGGUUAAGCGUCUGACUUCGGCUCAGGUCAUGAUCUNNNNNNNNNNNNNNNNNNNNNNNNNNNNNNNNNNNNNNNNNNNNNNNNNNNNNNNNNNNNNNNNNNNNNNNNNNNNNNNNNNNNNNNNNNNNNNNNNNNNNNNNNNNNNNNNNNNNNNNNNNNNNNNNNNNNNNNNNNNNNNNNNNNNNNNNNNNNNNNNNNNNNNNNNNNNNNNNNNNNNNNNNNNNNNNNNNNNNNNNNNNNNNNNNNNNNNNNNNNNNNNNNNNNNNNNNNNNNNNNNNNNNNNNNNNNNNNNNNNNNNAAUUUUUUUUAAUGUUUAUUUAUUUUUGACAGAGAGAGAGAGAGAGAGAGAGAGAGAGAGCACACAUGAGCGGGGGAGGGGCAGAGAGAGAGGGAGACAGAGAAUCGGAGGCAGGCUCCACNCAGGCUCCAGGCUCUGAGCCAUCAGCCCAGAGCCUGACGUGGGGCUCGAACUCAGAGACCGAGAGAUCAUGACCUGAGCUGAAGUCGGACGCUCAACCGACUGAGCCACCCACGUGCCCCUAUCAUGAAACAAUUUAAUGGCCUGCUAGAUUCCAGACAGACACCCCAUGCCCCUGGCAUUCCCCGAUCUACCAGUCUGAUGACCUCGCAAAGAAGGAAAUGAAGAAAUUGAGCCAGCACUUGUGUUCAUAAGGUCAUGCUGCCUCAGAGUGAUCACUGCUUCCCCUUUUUCUCCUCAUUUUCUUAUUUUGAAUGUUUGGAUAAUCUUAAGCACCUUCCUAAAUGUUUAGUAGCUCUCUGUACUUCCUUUUAUUAUAGACUCAGAACUCUCUAGAAUCUUUCUGAAAAUAUCAAACAUGACUAUUUUAGCAUUUUAUUCUCUGGCCUAUAUUGUGUUUUCUCAGGGGUUAUUUCUGCUUAUUGGGUUCAGUGCUUUCCUUGCCAGCUUCCUUGUUGUUUGAUUAUUCUUGGUUGUUUGGCCAUAUUUGUAAGUGAGAUCUUAAUUUGAACAUUAUUGGUGGCUGGAGACAGUAAGAAUUCUUGUUUGCUUGGCUAGAAGCUCAAGUUUAUUUGUUUUAUUUUUAAUUUAUUUUUAAUGUUUAUUUUUGAGAGGGAGCGAGAGAGAGAGGGCGAGUGCAUGAGCAGGGGAGGGGCAAAGAGAGAAGGAGACACAGAAUCCCAAGCAAGCUCCAAGCACAGUGGCUCGAACCCACAAACCCACAGUGAGAUCAUGACCCAAGCUGAAGUCAGGCUCUCAACUGAGCCACCUAGGCAUCCCUAGAAGCUCACGUUUAGAUUAAAUCAGCUCUGACUCCAGUGGUGGUGGGCUUUCCUUUAAGAUGUGAGUAUGGUCUAUGUUGAGGACAUGCGGCUCUCCUUUGCCUGUGACAAGGUCCUAAUUCUCUGCACCAGAGAGAAUCGUGAGAUCCUUUUUUGAGAGAAUCUUACCUGAAAAGUGACCGUACGCAGCCUGGGCCAUGUGUCAGCAUCAGUGUUAGACAGCACAGGGACCAGCUUGGCUUCACAAGUUAGCUUCCCUCCUGGCCACGGCUCACUUCCUCCAGCCGGCUUCUGCCUAUUUUGAUGGCAAGGCCUUUGCAGAAUUCUGCUGGGAAAACUUGUAUUUUUUAAAUUAAGGUUUUAAUUUUAUUUCCAGUAUAGUUAACAUAUGGUGUCAUAUUAGUUUCAGAUGUACAAAAUAAUGACUCAACAAUUCUAUAAAUUACUCAGUGCCCAUCAUGGUAAGUGUGCUUUUCUAGCCCCAUCACUGAUGUCACCCACCCCGCCCCACUCUGGUAUCCAUCCAUUUGUUCUCUAGAGUUAAGAGUCUGUUUCUUUGUCUCUCUCCCCUUUUUUUCCCUUUUGCUCAUUUGUUUUGUUUCUUAAAUUCCACAUACGAGUAAAAUCGUAUAGUAUGUAUCUUAUUCUGACUUAUUUUGCUUAGCAUUAUGCUCUCCAGCUCCAUCCAUGUUUUUGCAAAUGGCAAGAUUUCAAUCUUCUUUACUGCCAAAUAGUAUAUAGUAUUGUAUAUAUGUACCACUUCCUCUGUAUCCAUUCAUCUAUUGACAGACACUUGGGCUGCUUCCGUGUUCUGGCUAUUGUAAAUAAUGUUGCAAUAAACAUAGGUGUGCAUGUCUCCCUCUGAACUGGUGUUCUUGUAAUUUUUGAGUGAAUAACUGAGCAGUGUGAUUACUGGAUCUUAGGGUAGUUCUAUUUUUAACUUUUUGAGGAACCUCCAGAGUGUUCCACAGUGACGGCACCAAUUUGCAUUCCCACCAAGAGUGCAUGAGUGUUCCUUUUUCUCUAUAUCCUUGUCAACACUUGUUUUCUUCUGUUUUUGAUUUUAGCCAUUCUGACAGGUGUGAGGUGAUAUCACAUUGCAGUUUUGAUAUACAUUUCCCUGAUAGUGAGUGAUGUUGAGCGUCUUUUCAUGUGUCUUUUGGUCACCUGUAUAUCUCUUUGAAGGUUUGUUCAUGUCUUCUGCCCAUUUUUUAAUCGAAUUACUUGUUUUUUGGGUUUGAAUUAUAUACAUAUUUGGGUUUUGAGCUCUUUAUAGAUUUUGGAUACUAACCCUUUAUCAGAUAUAUCAUUUGUAAAUAUCUUCUUUCUUUCAGUAGGUUGCCUUUUAGUUUUGUGGAUUGUUUCCUUUGCUGUGCAGAAGUUUUUUAUUUUGCUGUAGUCCCAAUAAUUCAUUUUUGCUUUUAGUUCCCUUGCCCCUGGAGACAUGUCUAGAAAAAUGUUGCUAUGGUCAAUGUCAGAAAUUACUGCUUGUGCUCUGUUUUAAGAUUUUUAUGAUUUCAGGUCUCACAUUCAGGUCUUUAAGGGAAAACUCAUAUUUUUAAAGUUUUCUUUCAUGGUCUGGAUUUGUGGGUUACUAGCUCUGUUUCAUUUCAGCAUCUGUAUAUUCCAGAAAUUUCUCACUGUUCAGGUUGACUAUUAGUAACCCCCUUCUGAAUUUUCUAAAACUUGUUUAGAUUUAUUUUGCUUUAAUGCUACUCUUCUGACAUUCCUUUGGGAUUUGGAAAGAGAGGUAAAUGUGUGUGUUUAGUCAGCCAGCUUUGGUGGGAAGCCACCACUGCCCCCCCCCCCCGCCCCGCCUUCUGUGAUAACCUAGGGUUAGAAAGUUCUAAUAGGGAUCACAGCAACCUUGCCCCACAUAUGGGGCAAUUCUCUCUAAGAAGAGAGCAUUUUUUUCUCUGUUCUUAAAUUAGGGCAUCUCUGUAUCCCGUUCUCUUGCAUCUCAACCAUUCUUUGCAAUUUUCAAAGAUUACUGACAGUAGUCCUUUGCUGACACUGACAACUCACUCCUUUCAGUGCUCCGGAAAGUAUUUCACUUGAACACUGAAAAUAGCUAAAUGAUCGUAUCAUUCUUCACCUAUCAAAUGGACUUCAGCUCCUUGUUAAAUGUGUUUGGUUUAUCUUUUCAAGUGUUGGGAACUUUUCAUUGAUUAUCUUUUUCUUGAUAGGAAAGAAGAAAGUCAGAUGGAAGUUAUGUAUUCUACUUUUUUUUUUUAAGUGUUAAACAGGACCUCAUCAAUAAGGAUAAGGAACCACUUUUGUCUUUAUUAUCUCUGGCCUUUUUCUUUCUUUUUUUUUUUCCCUCAAGUCUAACCUCAUUUAAAGCUUCAGCAUUCCUGUCAUUAUUCAUAGAGGGCUGGCCACAACUCUAAAUUUGCUUUGGAUUUUAUACCACUACUGUUUUCUGUACCUGUCCUUUUUUUUUUUUUUUAUUUUUUUAACAUUUAUUUAUUUUUGAAAGAGUGAGACAGAGGAUGAGUGGGGGGAGGGGGGGGGAGAAACAGAAUCCAAAGCAGGCUCCAGGCUCUGAGCUGUCAGCACAGAGCCCGACGCAGGGCUCAAACUCACGGACCGGACCGCGAGAUCAUGACCUGAGGCAAAGUCGGCUGCCCAACCGACACCCAGGGGCCCCAUGUACCUGUCCUUUUAAAGUCUGAGUGUUUGAAAGAACUCCAUGCACAAUGUUAGUAGCUCAGGGGCAUUAAGGUAGAGGAGAAACUAAAGAUCAGAGAAUAAAUAGUGAACCGUUGGUGCUGAAAUACAGGCGGCAUGAACAGCAAAUUCUGAAGACCUUGCUGGUCGAAUAUCUCCUAUGUAACAGCUCCCCUGCUGAGGCACUAGAUUCCAUCCAUCACCUCUGACCUGUGUUGCAAUAGCUCUUUCCCAUAAAGGGGACAUGUCUGAAUGAUCUAGACCAGCAGACUAUUCACCUGACUAGUCACGUACACGGCAUUUUACUGAUUGCAGAGCUCCUUCAUGUUUGCGUUUUGUACUUCAGUUUCUUUGCUAUUCUCAUAACAAUUCUUUGUUUGUUUUUUAACGUUUAUUUAUUUUGGAGAGAGUGAGAGAAAGAGCACGAGUGGGGCAGGGGCAGAGAGCAAGAGGGAGACACAGAAUCCUAAGCAGCUCCAGGCUCUGAGCUGUCAGCACAGAGCCCAAUGCGGGGCUCAAACUCAAAAGCCCUGAGAUCAUGACCUGAGCCAAGUCAGACUGGGCUACCCCGGUGCCUCUCAUAACAAUUCUUUGAAAGGAAGGAGGAAGUUACUAGCCAGCAAGAACUGGCUAUUUUCAGGCACAGAGGAAGGUGUUGGGAAUAUGCAGUAAGUACUCUCUUUCCCUGGCUCUGUUUUAUAACCCCUUCUUCCUCUCUUUGAAACUCUUUCUUUGGAUUAAUUAGUCCAAUGUUCUCUUGAGUUUCCUCUUAUCUUUCUAGUCCUUCUCAGUCUCCUUUGCUAGUUCUACUCCCUUUUGUCCAUUAGAACUUGAAUCCUUUUGAAAAGGCAAAAGCUUGCAGCGUCCAAAAUGAUUUUUUUUUUUUAUGGAACUUAACUCAGAACAUUAUUUUUGCCAUGUGCAAAACAGUUUACUUUUAGGUUAUUCCCAAUGAAAGUUAGAAUUGGAAAGAAAGGAAAAGGAACCAGAAGCGUGGUAGGUUAAAAAUGUGCUGAGAUAGCUCCUCACAAUGUGAAAAUAAAACUGGCUUCUUAACAAAUGGCAGAAAUGUCCUAGUGCUUUUACUAAUCCAUUUAAAAUCCGGUAAAAAUAGGGCACCUGGGGGGCUCAGUCAGUUAAGCGACUAACUCUUGAAUUCGGCUCAGGUCAUGAUCCCAGGGUCGUGGGAUGAGUCCCUUGUUGGGUUCUAUGCUGAGUAUGGAGCCUGCUUGAGAUUCUGUCUCUUCCUCUCUCUCUGCCACUUCCCCACUCACAUCUGUCUCAAAAUAAAUAAAUAAACUUGAAAAAAUAAAUUAAAAAUAAAAUCUGCUUAAACCUAUUUCUAAUUGCAUUCAAAAACAUUUUUGGCUACAUCAAAUUAGUUAAUACAAUUCAGAAUAAUAAUAACCAUUUGUAAAUAAAAUUAGGAACUCUCAUUGGAAAUGCUAAGAACUACCUGAAUGUGUGCAAGGAGUAGACCAUUAUCUCCCUGCCAAGUCUGUAUGUCCAUGUUGUUAUUGAUAUAAAGGGCAGUUCUAAUAUCCAUAUAUAUAUUAACUCUUUAAAUUUCAUUGGAAAUGAAUUUUAUUGUGUACCUUUCAUGGACCACUUAGCUAGUGUGCUUAACUUUUUAGAGUGAUUGUGGGGAUGGGGGACAGGAACAAAGAUGUGUGUCAGUUGGGGGGUGGGGUUGGGCAGGUAGUGGUUAUAGCUAUGGCCAAGAAGCGUUCUCAGAUCUUGACCAGUUCUUUAAAAAAGGUAUGUUAUGUUUUCAUCAGGAAGAGGAGAAGUAGCAUAAAUAAUUUAGGGAACCCUACAUCAAUACUUUAAAAGGAAUUAGAACACACCCUUCUAAUUAUCAUUGAAUCUGCUUUUAUAAUGAAAAAUAAUAACUUUUUCCCUCAUGAUGAAAGUAAUCCAUAUUCAUUUAUUUAAUUUAGAAAAUAUAGACAAGCAAAUGGAAGAAAUCACACCUGUAAUCCCAUCACCCACAGAUAUACUUUCUAUAUUCUUCCAUUCAUUUCGUACCAAAUGGUGUCAUAGUAUACACCCCAUUUGUAACUUGUUUCUUUCACAGAGCAAUAUUGUUACUAUCCUUUGACAAAAAUCUCUAAAUCUAAAUCUAUCAAUAUCUAAAGCAUGAAAUGGGUAAUCCUCAAAAUUCUAGUUUUUAUUACCAUGGAACUAAUAAACUUAACUUUCAAGUUAAGUUUACAGGCUACAGAUGUGUUCACAUAGUCAUAAUAUGUUUUUGUAAAAUUUGCGGAAAUAAGAUAUUAAAAAAAUUUUUUUCUUAAAGAGAACCCUUCCCAAUUUUACAAGUGUGAGGUCUCACAAAACCUGCAUCAAUCCCUGGUAGUACAUCCUUUCCUUUCCCACUUCCAUUAAUUCAGCAAAUAUUUUUGAGUAUUUAUUAUGGGCCACACACUGUUCUAGGUACUUGAGACACAUCAAUGGACAAAACUGAAAGAGACUUACUCUGCAGUGAGGAGAGGGAGGCAGCGGACACAAGGAAGUAAUUAUGUUGUAUGCUGUCCAGUGGUAUUUGCUGUGGAGAAACAGCAGGGAAGAGGGUAAAGGAGAUUACUAUUUUGGCAAAGAGAGGAGGUCUGGUAAAAUUAAACAAGAUGGGUGAAGCCUCAUAGAAAAGAGAACAUUUGUGCCAAGACAGGGAGCCCAUUUUUUUGAGAGCAUUUAUACAUCCUUCUCAUUAUUAUUUCAGUGUAUACAAAUAUUGAAUCAUUGUGCUGUAUACCUGAACUAGUAUAAUGUUAGAUGUCAAUUACACCUCACUAAGAAAAAACUCACAGCAUUUUAAAGUUUUAUCUCUAACCAGGAUUAAAUACAUAUAAACUUUUAUUUUUAACCAGGAUUAAAUACGUUACGUACAUAGGUGCAUAUGAACAUAUACCUAUACAUAGUUUAAAAUUUUGUUUUAAAUAUAGUUUUGCUUGGUAACAACUUAAUAAUUCUACUAACAUGAAAAUAAUAGAUUUUAAAUGGAAAUGAGAGGAAUGGCUGUCCUGAGUUCUUGACCCUUUCACAAUGAUUUACAAGAAAUUACAUAACCUUGAUUUUAAAAAUCAUAAUUUAAGGGGCGCUUGGGUGACUCAGUCAGUUAAGCAUCCAACUCUUGAUUUCAGCUCAGGUCAUGAUCUCACAGUCAUGGGAUUGAGGCCUGCAUCGGGAUCUGUGCUGAUAGCAUGAAGGCUGCUUGGAAUUCUCCCUCUCUCUUUCUCUCUCUCUCUCUUUGCCCCUCCCCUGCUCAUGUUCUCUCUCUCUGUCUCUCUCAAAAUAAAAUAGAUUAAAAUAAAAAUUUUUUAAAAUCACAAUUUAAGGCUUGUCUAGCACAGGCAGCCCACAGAGAGUAGAAUCUGAUACUUUUUACAACUGCUAAAGUACACAUCUGAAUGAUACAGAAGUUCCCAAAUUUAAAGGGCACUGCUGUACAUGGUGGAAAAAAACCUCUUGUCAACAGAAUGCAAUUUAUACUAACCCUAAAAUUUGAUGGCACUUUUGAUUCUGCCUAUUUUUAAAAGGCAUAUAUUUAUGUAUAGAUUAUACAUAAGAAGCCUAGAAUGAUAUGCAGGAAAAUGUCAACAGUACUUAUUUUUGUGCUUAUUGGUAGCGAGCUUAUUUUGUGACUAUCUACACCUUUUGACUUUUCCACAAUGUGCACAUGUUACUUGAAUAAAAACAUAAUUUUUAUGUUUUCCAUGCUUCCAUAUUUGACUUUUUUUCUUUUUAAUUUUUUAAAUUUACAUCCAAGUUAGUUGGCAUAUAGUGUACAAAGAUUUCAGGGGGAGAUUCCUUAAUGCCCCUUACCAUUUAGCCCAUCCCCCUUCCCACAACCUCUCCGGUAACCCUCUGUUUUUUCCCCAUAUUUAAGAGUCUCUUAUGUUUUGUUUCCCUCCCUGUUUUUAUAUUAUUUUUGCUUCCCUUCCUUUGUGUUCAUCUGUUCUGUGUCUUAAAGUCCUCAUAUGAGUGAAGUCAUAUGAUAUUUGUCUUUCUCUGACUAAAUUCGCUUAGCAUAAUAUCCUCUAGUUCCAUCCAUGUAGUUGCAAAUGGCAAGAUUUCAUUCUUUUUGAUUGCCGAGUAAUACUCCAUUGUGUGUGUGUGUGUGUGUGUGUGUGUGUGUGUGUGGUGUGUGGUGUGUGUGUGUAUACGUGUAUACCACAUCUUCUUUAUCCAUUUAUCUAUCGAUGGACAUUUGGGUUCUUUCCAUACUUUGGCUAUUGUUGAUAGUGCUGCUAUAAACAUUGGGGUGCAUGUGUGCCUUUGAAACAACACUCCUGUAUCCCUUGUGCAGUUACUGGGUCAUAGGGUAGUUCUAUUUUUAAUUUUUUGAGGAACCUCUGUACUGUUUUCCAGAGUGGCUGCACCAGCUUGCAUUCCCGCUAAUAAUGCAAAAGAGAUCCUUUUUCUCUGCAUCCUUGCCAACAUCUGUUGUUGCCUGAGUUGUUAAUGUUAGCUGUUCUGACAGGUGUGAUGUAGUAUCUCAUUGUGGUUUUGAUUUAUAUUUCCCUGAUGAUGAGUGAUGUUGAGCAUUUUUUUCAUGUGUUGGUUAACCAUCUGGAUGUCUUGUUUGGAGAAGUGUCUAUUCAUGUCUUUUGCCCAUUUCUUCCCUGGAUUAUUUGGGUUUUUCUGGGUGUUGAGUUUGAUAAGUUCUUUAUAGAUUUUGGACACUAACCCUUUAGCAGAUAUGUCAUUUGCAAAUACUUCUCCCAUUCUCUCAGUUGCCUUUUAGUUUUGCUGAUUGUUUCCUUCGCUGUGCAGAAGCUUUUUAUUCUGAUGAGGUCCCAGUAGUUCAUUUUUGCUUUUGUUUCCCUUGCCUCUGGAGAUGUGUUAAGUAAGAAGUUGCUGUGGCCAAGAUCAAAGAGGUUUUGCCUGCUUUCUCCUCGAGGAUUCUGAUCGUUUCCUGUCUUACGUUUAGGUCUUUCAUCCAUUUUGAGUUUAUUUUUGUGUAUGGUGUAAGAAAGUGGUCCAGGUUCAUUUUUCUGCAUGUUGCUGUCCAGUUUUCCCACCACCACUUGCUGAAAAGAGUGUCUUUAUUCCACUGGAUAUUCUUUUCUGCUUUGUUAAAGAUUAGUUGGCUAUACGUUUGUGGGCCCAUUUCCGGGUUCUCUAUUCACUUCCACUGAUCUGAGUGUCUGUUUCUGUGCCAGUACCAUACUGUCUUGAUGAUUACAACUUUGUAAUAAAGCUUGAAGUUCGGGAAUGUGAUGCCUCCUGCUUUGGUUUUCUUUUUCAAGAUUGCUUUGCCUAUUCAGGGUCUUUUCUGGUUCCAUACAAAUUUUAGGAUUGUUUGUUCUAGCUCUGUGAAGAAUGUUGGUGUUAUUUUGAUAGGGAUUACAUUCAAUAUGUAGAUUGCUUUGGGUAGUAUUGACAUUUUAAUAAUAUUUGUUCUUCCAAUCAGGAAGCAUGGAAUAUUUUUCCUUUUUUGUGUGUGUCUUCUUCAAUUUCUUUCAUAAGCUUUCUAUAGUUUUCAGUCUAUAGAUUUUUCACCUUUUUGGUUAGAUUUAUUCCUAGGUGUUUUAUGGGUUUUGGUUCAGUUGUAAAUUGGAUCAAUUCCUUGAUUUCUCUUUCUGUUGCUUCAUUGUUGGUGUAUAGGAAUGCAACCGAUUUCUGUGCAUUGAUUUUAUAUCCUGCAACUUUGCUGAAUUCAUAAGUUCUAGCAGUUUUUUGGUGGAAUCUUUUGGGUAUUCUAUAUAGAGUAUCACGUCAUCUGCAAAGAGUGAAAGUCUGACCUCCUCCUGGCUGAUUUGGAUGUCUUUUAUUUCUUUGUGUUGUCUGAUUGCUGAGGCUAAGACCUCCAAGCUAUGUUGAAUAACAGUGGCAAGAGUGGACAUCCCUGUCUUGUUUCUGACCUUAGGGGAAAGCUCUCAGGUUUUCCCCAUUGAGAAUGAUAUUAGCAUUGGGUCUUUCGUAUAUGGCUUUUAUGCUCUUGAGGUAUGAUCCUUCUAUCCCUACUUUCUUAAGGGUUUUUAUCAAGAAAGGAUGCUGUAUUUUGUGAAAUGCUUUCUCUGCAUCUAUUGAGAGGAUCAUGUGGUUCUUGUAUUUUCUUUUAUUGAUGUGAUAAAUCAUAUUGAUUUUUUUGUAGAUAUUGAACCAGGCCUGCAUCCCAGGUAUAAAUGCCACUUGGUUGUGAUGAAUAAUUUUUUUAAUGUAUUGUUGGAUCCGGUUGGCUAAUGUCUUGCUGAGGAUUUUUGCAUCCAUGUUCAUCAGAGAAAUUGUCUAUAUUUCUCCUUUUUAGUGGGGUCUUUGUCUGGUUUUGGACUCAUGGUAAUGCUGGCUUCAUAGAAAGAGUUUGGAAGUUUUCCUUCCAGUUCUAUUUUUUUGGAAUAGCUUCAACAGAAUAGGUGUUAACUCUUCUUAAAUGUUUGGUAGAAUUCCCCUGGAGAGCCAUCUGGCCCUGGACUCUUGAUUUUUGGGAGAUUUUUGAUUACUAAUUCAAUUUUUUACUGGUUAUGAGUCUGUUAAAAAUUUCUAUUUCUUUCUGUUUCAGUUUUGGUAAUUUAUAUAUUUCUGGGAAUUUGUCCCAUUUCUUCCAGAAUACCCAUUUUAUUGGUGUAUAAUUGCUCAUAAUAUUCUCUUAUUAUUGUUUUCAUUUUUGCUGUGUUGGUUGUGAUCUCUUCUCUUCACUCUUGAUUUUAUUUAUUUGGGUCCUUUCCUUUUUCUUUUUGAUCAAACUGACUAGUGGUUUAUCUAUUUUGUUAAUUCUUUCAAAGAACCAGCUUCUGGUUUCAUUGAUCUGUUCUCCUGUUUUUUUUUUGUUUGUUUGUUUUGUUUUGUUUUGUUUUGUUUUUGGUUUCAAUAGCAUUAAUUUCUGCUCUAAUCUUUAUUAUUUCCUGUUUUCUGCUGGUUUUGGGUUUUAUUUGAUGCUCUUUUUCCAGCUCUUUGAGGUGUAAGGUUAGGUUGUGUAUCUGAGACCUUUCUUCCUUCUUUAGGAAGGCCUAGAUUCCUAUAUACUUCCCUCUUAUGAACGCCUUUGCUGUGUCCCAGAGGUUUUGGGCUGUGGUGUUUUCAUUUUCAUUGGCAUCCGUGUACUUUUUAAUUUCCUCUUUAGCUUCUUGGUUAGCCCAUUCAUUCUUUAGUAGGAUGUUCUUUAGUCUCCAAGUAUUUGUUACCUUUCUAAAUUUUUUCAUGUGGUUGAUUUCAAGUUUCAUAGCGUUGUGGUCUGAAAAUACGUAUGGUAUGAUCUUGAUCUUUUUGUAGUUGUUGAGGGCUGAUUUGUGUCCCAGUAUGUGGUCUAUUCUGGAGAAUGUUUCAUGUGCACUGAAGAAGAAUGUAUAUUCCGCUGCUUUAGGUUGAAAUGUUCUGAAUAUAUCUGUGAAGUCCAUCUGGUCCAGCAUGUCAUUCAAAGCCACUCUUUCCUUGUUGAUUUUCUGCUUAGAUGAUCUGUCCAUUGUUGUAAGUGGGGGUGUGGAAGUCCCUUCUAUUAUGGUAUUAUUAUUAAUGAGUUUCUUUAUGUUUGUGAUUCAUUGAUUUAUAUAUUUUUUUGCUCCACAUUUGGAGCAUAAAUGUUUACAAUUGUUAGGUCUUCUUGGUGGAUAAACCCCUUAAUUAUGACAUAAUGCUCUUCUUCAUCCAUUGUUACAGUCUUUAUUUUAAAGUCUAGAUUGUCUGAUGUAAGUAUGGCUACUCCAGCUUUCUUUUGUCGACAAUUAGCAUGAUAGAUGGUUCUCCAUCCUCUUACUUUCAACCUGAAGGUGUCUUUAGGUCUAAAGUGGGUCUCUUGUAAACAGCAUAUAGAUGGAUCUUGUUUUCUUAUCCAUUCUGUUACCCUUUGUCUUUUGAUAGGAGCAUUUAGUCCAUUGACAUUUAGAGUGAGUACUGAAAGAUAUAAAUUUAUUGCCAUUAUGUUGCUUGUAGAGUUGGAGUUUCUGGUGGUGUUCUCUGGUCCUUUCUAGUCUUUGUUGCUUUUGGUACUUAUGUAUGUAUGUAUGUAUGUAUGUAUGUAUGUAUUCUUUUCUCCCCUCAGAGCGUCCCCCUUAAAAUUUCUUACAGAGCUGGCUUAGUGGUUAUGAACUCCUUUAAUUUUUGUUUGUUUGGGAAACUUUUAAUCUCUCCUUCUAUUUUGAAUGACAGCCUUGCUGGAUAAAGAAUUCUUGGCUGCAUAUUUUUCUGAUUCAGCACAUUGAAUAUAUCCUGCCACUCCUUUCUGGCCUGCCAAGUUUCUGUGGAUAGGUCUGCUGCAAACCUGAUCUGUCUUCCCUUGUAGGUUAAGGACUUUUUUUCCCUUGCUGCUUUCAUGAUUCUCUCCUUGCCUGAGUAUUUUGUGAAUUUGACUAUGAUAUGCCUUGUUGAUGGUCGAUGUUUGUUGAAUUUUUAUGGGAGUCCUCUCUACUUCCUGGAUUUUGAUGUCUGUGUCUUUCCCCAGGUUAGGAAAGUUUUCUGCUAUGAUUUGUUCAUGUAACACUUCUACCCCUUUUGCUCUCUCUUCAUCUUCUGGGACCCCUAUGAAUCUGAUGUUGUUCCUUUUUAAUGAGUCACUGAUUUCUCUAAUUCUUAAAUCGUACUCUUUUGCCUUAGUCUCCCUCUUUUUUUCUGCUUCCUUUUUCUCCAUAAAUUUGUCCUCUAUAUCACUGAUUUGCUGCUGUGUCUCAUCCAUCUUUGCCACUGUGGCAUCCAUUCGAAAUUGCAGCUCAGUUAUAGCAAUUUAAAAUUUCAUCCGGCCUAGCUUUUACUUCUUUUUUCUCUACAGAGAGGGAUUCUAAUCUAUUUCUGACUCCAGCUAGUGUUCUAUUAUCGUGAUUCUAAAUCUGGUUCAGACAUCUUACUUGUAUCUGUGUUGGUUAAGUUCCUGGCUGUUGUUUCUUCCUACUCUUUCUUUCGAGGUGAAUUCCUUCAUUUUGUCAUUUUUAAAAAAAAAUUUUUAAUGUUUAUUUAUUUUUGGAGAGAGACACAGAGUGUGAGUGGGGGAGGGGCAGAGAGAGAGGGAGACACAGAAUCGGAAGCAGGCUCCGGGCUCUGAGCUAUCAGCGCAGAGCCCGAUGCGGGGCUCGAACCCACGAACUGUGAGAUCAUGACCUGAGCCGAAGUCGGACACCCAACUGACUGAGCCACCCAGGCAUCCCUCGUUUUGUCAUUUUGAAGGAAGAAAAGGAAUUAAUGAGGUAAAAAAAUUUAAAACAAUUAAAAUUUAAAAAAUUAAAAAAUUUUAAAAAACAUACACACAUACACACAAAUCAAAUAAAUGAUGUUAGAUCUUAGGUGUGUUUUGGUCUGGAUGUUGAAAGGGGCUUGAUAGAUUAGAGAAAAUGGGGGGGGGAAAGGAAACCGUUUGAAAAUUUGAAAAAAUGAAUACAAGUACACUGAAAUUAUUGAAGUCAAAUAGAAUUUGAAAAAUUUACAAAAAAGUAAAAAAAUAUAGUUGAAAGAAAUUUUAAAAUAUUUUAAUAAAAGUUGAAAAUAAAAAUAAAUAUUUUCUUUCUGUAUUCAAGAAAAAGAAAAAAGGAAAAGAGAAAAAAAAGAAAAUUGAAUAGAUGGACCAGCGAACAGACUGAAAUAUGAUUGAAAUUACUUUGUUUUCCCCUAGAAGUCAAACUAUGAAGUACUUUAUAGUCCGUAAACUCAGCAGGCAGAGACUUGUGUUCCUGAAGAGCGAAGUUGGUCCAGUUGGGCGGGGCUUAGUGUAAUGGCUCCAUUCUCCACUAGAUGGCACUGCUUAGCUUACUGGGGUGGAUUGUUGUGGCGCUCGUAUGUGCAUAUGCGCAUGCGUGGGAGUGGUGAAAAUGGUGUCACCCAGCUACCCAGUCUCUAGUAUCGGAGCUCUGUUUUCCCCAAUUAUCAAUCACGCACCUGUCCUUUGUCUCUGGCUUCCAUCCACUUCCUGCUUUCACACUGUCUGUGAUCCAGCCCCAGGCAGCAUCUCCCUCCUGAGUUUUAUCUCAGAUGCGGCUGUUUUUCCCGACCCCUUACUUCUGAGGGACUGUGGCUUUGACCCGUUCUGCCCCUCUGCCGGAGGGUCUCACCGAGCAAUGCCUGGGUGCUGGCUGCACCCAGGAAUGUUCGCAGGACUGUGCUGCUGCCGAUGCCCAGAGACUGCGGCUGGGUUCCAGUCAACCCCAGAAAAAGUUCAAGCGAUCAUGUAGCAGCAGUGUUUCAGGGAUUAUGGAAAAUCAUAAUACACAUCUGGCACUAGGUUUCACCCUUUAGGACUUUGUUCCAGCACCAGUGAAUGUGGUUGUUUUCCCGGGUCCACUGGGGCCUUUGCCUGUGGGAGAGCCACACAGCCUCUACCAGGUGUCCUCCCAGCAGGGGAACUGGCUCUCCCUGUGUGGCCCAAAGACCUCUGGACCUCACUUUGCUCCUGAGGAUUCACCCUUCUCACCAGAGCACCACCAGGUUCGAGCUGCGCUGUUUCAGACUCUGUGCUCCCCCGUUUAUAGUGUCUUAAUGGAAUUUAAACCCUCUCCUUUCUCCUUUCUCCCUUUUUAGUUCAGUCCCUGUGCCUGUUUCUACUUUACCACUUUCUCUCCAGCUGCUUUUGAGGGGGUGUUUUUCCUGUAUUCUCCCCCCCCCUUCCCCCUCCAUCCUCUGUCCACAAGCAAAAACAGCUCCCUGCCCUGCAGAGCUUCUCUUUCCCCCAGUUCACCUCUCCAUGUCAUGUACCUGCUGAGUUCUUUGGUUCAUGUUGUGCAGAUUGUUGUGUUAAUCCUCAGAUCAGUUUUCUAGGUGAGCAGGAAGGUUUAGUGUUGAUCUGGCUGUAUUUCAUGGAUCCAAGAUGCAAAAAAUACAAUUCCAUUCUGUUCCACCAUCUCGGCUCCUCCCAACCUUCUCUUUUUCUAAUGUAAUCUCAGAUAUAAUCCUCACUCCUGAACAUCACUGAAAAGUACCAGGGAAAUGUCUCUCUCCUUGCUUCCUGGUGACACCUUUGAGCAACUGUUCUCCUGCCAUCGUUUAACAACCUCUCUUUAGUCUAUGUCACUUCCAGAUCUCAGUCAGCCAUGGCCUGGAGUAAAAGAGGUGAGCAUAAGGACACAGGAUAACCCACCAUAUUUCUCCUUUCAUAGAGACACUCAGCCUCAAUCAACUGUAUCUGUUGUUUCCACACCUCCCAGUGGGGCUUUCUCUGUCUUCCUGAUCCACUUGGACAAGCCAAGGCAUCAUCUCAUAUGAUGUCUUCAUAUGAGAGUCCAAAGCAGGCUUUUUUUUUUUUAUUUCUAGAGGAUAAAUUCAGACUUAUGAAUUCUUGUAAAAUGCAGUAUUUCCUAAUCUUUAAUGGUAGAAAUUUUAGGCAACUUUCAAGAGUAAAGCCAGUGAAUUAAGGUUAAAGUGCCCAUGGUCACAUCACUGGACAAAGAUAGGCCUAGAAUUCAGACUCUAAUUCUAGCGCUCAUUCCUCUAAACCAGAAUACCUUGGAUGUGGAACCUAACUGAAGACCAUGACAUAGCCUCGGUUUACUUAGAGAAGGAAAUGUGACAAAGCAUAUGUCAUUUGUUUCUGUUUAAAUGUUCAAGUUACUCAUCUUUUUUUUAAAGUUUAUUUACUUUUGAGAGAGAGAGAGAGACAGAGCGCGAGCAGGGGAGGGCCAAGAGAGAGGGAGACAUAUAAUCCGAAGCAGGCUCCAGGCUCUGAGCUGUCAGCACAGAGCCUGACCUGGGGCUUGAACCCAUGAACCAUGAGAUCAUGACCUAAGCUGAAGUCGGAUGCAUAACUGACUGAGCCACCCAGGUGCCCCUCAAGUUCCUCAUCUUAAAGAAUCUGUUGCAUAACAGCUAACACUCAGGUUGGAUGUUUCAGGAAGAUUGUUUAGAAUGUUUUUUAAAAAAUGUGCUGGAGAUUUUCAUAGAAAUGUCUACUUUUCCUGAUAGCCUUUUAUUUCCUCAUCUUUCUCUUUCUUCUCACAUACACAUGCAAGUUUUUCUCUUCCUACUGUUUGCACAGAAACAGGAUAUGUUGAGAACAAGUUCAAAGAGGUACCUAUGUGGAAAGGUUCACAGUUGACACAAAUCAAGAAUAGAUCAGUGAAGUGGAAACCAGUGGAACAAUGUUAUUAUUGUUUAUAUUCAGGCAACAUUGGCAAAAAUACCCCGCGCACUGUGACAUGAAACUGAGCUUCUAAAUAAGCGAUAACUACUUUAGUGUAGAGCUUUACUUUCGUUAACUUGUUUACUUUAUGAUUGUAAUGCUACUUAGUAAUUUUCUGUUAAUGAACUUUCUAAGAUCAUUAGUGUAUAGUCUUAAAAUUAGGCAUGCAUCCUUGUUUUAAUAAGAGCUUGCAAUGCACAGGAGCCAGCUGUCACAUUUUCAGUUUGAAUAUAAGAAUUAUCCCACACGCCCCUACUAAAUCAGUAUUGACAUCUAUAAACAAGACUAAUAGGAGAUAUAAAAAUAAUAAAUGAUUAGCCCUGUGAAUAGGCAUGUGGAAUUACUUAUUGCUUUUCCCUGUUCUGUUUGUUAAUGUUUAUUUAUUUUUGAGAGAGAGACAGAGAGACAGACAGACAGAGAGUGGGGGGAGAGACAGAGAGAAGAGGGAGACAAAGAAUCCGAAGCAGGUUCAAGGCUCUAAGCUGUCAGCACAGAGCCAAACACAGGGCUCAAACCUACCAACCGUGAGAUCAUGACCUGAGCGGAAGUCCGACGCUUAAUUGACCUGAGAUGAAACAGGAUGCUUAACCUAAUAAGCCACCCAGGUGCCCCUCCCUGUUCUGGUUGUUAACCAGAGUUUGAUUACCUGUAAUAAACACAAGCAAAAUGUAUAUUGUUUCAUGGGAUACCAAAAAAAAAAAAAAAAAAGAAAAAAAAAGAAUGUUUCAGGCACAAUAUCCUGAGUUAACUCUCACAAUACUUCUUAGAAAAAAUGAUCAUCCCCAUUUCUAGUAAUGAAUAAGGUCAUUCCCAGGGAGGAGAAGCAAGUGGUGGAAAGAAGAUUCACACUCAUCAUCCUUACACCACACUACAGGCUUUUUCUGCAAUGCUUGCUUCCUUCCCUCCUUUUCAAAGUUGUGUGUCCUUCCUCACAACACUUCUCAUUUCCAAUUCUGAGGCAAAGCAUUUAUACAAAUACACUGAUAGACACUUGCUUACUCACGAUGGGUUAUUUCCACUGUCCUCUUUUGAGUAUUCCCAAAACUGAGGGGAAAAGGCUGCUUCCGAUCAGCCUUUUCUAGUGUUACAUAUCCUUUCCUCUCCCUCUAAUCUGAAGGAACCCCACAAACAUAUAUAUAGCACUGAAAGUCAUUCUUUUCUUUCUUCAACUAUGUUUCUCCUUUCUCCUUCCCAUUUUCUAUUCUGGCACUGGAGGAGCACUGGAAAGCACAUCCUUACAGACAUGCUCUUUUUUUUAGGGACCCUAUUUUUUAAAACAAUUAAUUGCAAAAAUACAUGAUGUAAAAUUCUUAAGCAUUCUCAAGUGUAUAGUACCUUUACUAUAUUUACAUUGUAACAGAUCUCUAGAGGUCUUCUCUCCCAAAGCUGACACCCUAUAUCCAUUGAAUAACUCCUCAUUUUACUCUCCUUCCACCCCAGUCCCUGGCAACUACCCUCCUACUUUCUGUUUCCAUAAUUUUGAGCAUCCUAGACAUCUCAUAUUUGUGACUGGCUUAUUUCACUUAGCGUGGUGUCCUCAAGGUUCAUCCAUGUUGUGGCAUGUAAUAGAAUUUCCUAAUUUCUAAAGGAUGAAUAGUAUUUGAUUAUUUAUAUUUACUACAUUUUCUUUAUUCAUCUAUCACUGGACAUUUGGCUCCUUCCACCUCUUGGCUAUUGUGAAUAAUGCUGCAAUGAAGAUGGGUGUAUAAAUAUUUUUGGGGGAUCCUGCUUUAAGUUCUUUUAGAUAUAUACCCACAGGUGGGAUUGCUGGAUCAUAUGGCAAUUCUAACAUUUAGUUUUUUGAGAACCUUCCCUACUAGGUUCCACAUAUUUGCCAAAACUUGUUAUUUUCUAUUUUUUUUUAUAUAGUGGCCAUCCUAAUGUGUCAUUGGGAUUCUGUUUUCCAUUUCUGUAAUGAUUAGUAAGUAUGCACUAUUUUUUUUAAUUUAAAAUGUUUUGGUUUUAUAAUUGAGAACAUACUAUGUGCUAGGUACUGUGUUAAGCGCUUUGUAUGCAAUAGCUUACUACUUUUAACAACCAUCCUGUGGCCUAGUGGUAUUGUGUUUGAAGAAACUGAGAAUCAGAGUUUGAGUAGUUUUCCUAAGGACAGAGAACUGCUACACAGUGAAAUCAGAAUUCAAAACCAGUUUUGAUACCAAAGCUCACAUUUCUAACAGUUGAGUUAUCUCCCUGCUUUUUGCUUUAGCUAUUAAUUCGCUAAGCCAAUUUUUGGUGAUGUAUACAGUUCUAUACAAAGGAAAGGGAGAGUCAUAUUUGUUAAGUGACUGGCUUGUGCCAGACACCACUAAAUGCUCACAGAUACGUAGGUGUGAGUGUGUUUUGGAGUGGGGUGAAAGAGGGAAGUCCUUGCAUUUUACACAUACAAGCUUUUAUUCCAUUUACAUGGUUGGCAUUGCAAGUCACAGAGUGCAAUGGAAACAAAGUUGAGUUUGUUUUCUUACCAUAGUCUUUGUAAAUUUGAAGGUCAUUUUUGCUGAUAAAUAUACUCUUAAGAAAUAUGCAGGAAUUCCAGAUAAAUUCCAAUUCCAAUUAAGGAGUUGACUGUAUCUCAUAGAGAGGGUACACAAGCAAUAAACUACAGGAAAGAAGAGUCUUAGCUAGGAUAAAAGGAAACAAAAAUAAAUGAGUACGUAAACUAGGAACUACCAGUUAGUUUAUUCUCUUGAGCACUUGCUCUGCUGCACCAGCUCUAUUUUCCCCAUGUAGAGUGCCUACAACUGCUUCCAUAUUGUCUCCCCUGUUCUACUUCACCUCAUGGUAGAAACAAAAACAGUGGGUCAAGAGGUAUUUUAGUUUUGCUAACACAGUGACAAAUUCAGAACUGAUGGGACAUUUAAGAUGACCCUAAACCCAGGAAAAUUGAGUCACGUGAAUACAUGACUCUUGACUGCCUAUGGUAACCCCCUACUACUGAAAUCUUUAGCCCAAACUUCAUUUGGUCAUGAAAAGCAUGAAGAGAAUGGGAAGCUAAAAUCAUUUCAUCUGUGCCUUACAUUUAAAACGCAUAUUAACCUCUUAUCUGGAUUGAAAUAGUUUGGGAUAUAUUACUGCAAUAUUUCAAAUUCGUAAUACCAAUUAUAAACAAAAACAUCUUUAGGUAAGAGUAUAAAUCUCCCAAUAAACUUACAAAAGAGGUGAUAAAAAUGGCUGCUGGUAUUUAUAAUAUUCGUCAAGUGCUGCUAAUGUUAUAGAAACCAAUAAGCUAGCUAGUUUUUGUAGUUAAAUAUGAUAUUGCCACAGCCUUACCCCUAAAACGCAGGGACAGUGUAAGUGCGGUAAUGUAUUUUGUGUCACAGCCUUCAGUGUAAAUCAUGAGCCAGACACAGCACGCCAUAUUAUCUCAACUUUUGUAAAUUUUAUAGAUUUAGAAUUGCUGAAUUGAAAUGAAACUACCAAGUAAAAUUAAAUGCUGUUCAUAGAUAUCCUAUACCACUGUUGGGAAUCACAGCCAUCUGUGAAAAUUAUACCCAGAUUUAUUGCUCCAACCCAUUGCAUCUGUGCUCUUUAGCAAUGUUCUUUCACUCUUUUUGCUUUCUUUCCUCUUCUCUGUGAUUUAUUAUCUCCUUCUUUCAUCUCUAUUAACAGGUCAACAUCUCUUAAUUAUACCUGAAUGAGGCUUCGUUAUAUGCUCUUCUGAAGAAAAAAUGGCUUAUGACAGUAAAUGAGAAAACAAUUCAAGAAAACAAAUGAAAGCCAUAACUUUGCUAUGUUAUUAGUACUUUAUUUCAUAUUGCUUAGUCUUAGUUCUUAAUUUUUAUGUAUUAUUCACCAGGAAGUUUGAAUAGUUAGGCUUGCAAAGCACCCCAUAACACAGUCGCAGGUUCUGUUAAUUAUUUUGGUGUUGAGAUAUAAAAGUUAAGUCUACAAUGUAAUGUAUAUUUCACAAUUUCUCAGAGUCCAUGGCUUUCACAUGAAUAUUUUUAAUGAGGCAGUUCAAUAAAAUUUUUAUAAAUGAAUUUUAGUUAACAAAAAAUUGUCCCUGUGAAAUAGAAUUGCUCUAUUGGUAUUUCUUUAUUUAUUUAUUAAAAUUUUUUUUUUUUAACAUUUAUUCAUUUUUGAGAGACAGAGUGAGACAGAGCAUGAGCAGGGGAAGGGAGAGAGAGAGGGAGACACAGAUUCUGAAGCAGGAUUCAGGUUCUGAGCUGUCAGCAAAGAGCCCAACAUGGAGCUCGAACCCAUGAACUAUGAGAUCAUGACCUGAGCUGAAGUCAGACACUUAACCCGCUGAGACACCCAGGUGCCCUGGUAUUUCUUAGUUUAUAAAUGAGAAAACAGUAGCUUAGUAAGGUUAAUGGAGAUACCCAAGUCAUAUGGGUCAUAAGUACAUGUAAUUUGGAUGUAUAAAUAUGGAUGUCAUAUUCAAAAAUCUGUGUUUGACCCAACAUAUCAUACUACUAAUGCUAUCUUAUAUUAUGUUAUUUUCACUUAAAUAUUUUGUCAUGUAAGUAUUUCUAUCAUUUAUAUGGCUAUUAUUUUUAUUAUUCAGAUAAUUCCCCACCAAGUUGAUCGAUAUUUU
rnacentral:lncRNA from 1 species